rnacentral:lncRNA from 1 species
CCCUGCAAUUUUUAAGGCAUUUUAUUACUACUGGGAAGAAAGAAAUUUUGUUAGACUGUUAUCUAUAAGAAGACAUGAUGAUGUCUCCAACAGGAUGCUUUUCUCUGAUUUCAUCCAACUGUGGCUUUUGGAAUUUCGUGGAAACCAUAAGUGUAACUAGUAACACAUUUAGAUAGGUAGCUUAGUGAUAGCACAUUUAGACAGGUAGCUUAGUGUACCUCGACACACAAGUAAUGCUGUGUACGUACUUCUUUUCUUCAUUUGAUUUUAAUUCGUUAUCCUGUGGCUGCUUAUAAUUUGACAAGAGUGCAAGGGAUUGUCGCAGAUACCAGAUUAAAUCAUACCUGGAGACCGAAAUUGCUGGCAUUACAAUGGUUAAUCCCUUCUUCGACAGAGUUGAUCCUGAUGACUGGCAAGAUUGGCCCGAACGGCUCCUCCCACGCGAUCCUCAUGUCGGGCCUGACGUUAUCCAACAGCACUGGCCAUAUGAGGUUGCCUUCUCUCUUGUAUGGCUGGCAGAAGGUUGCGCCCUUCUCCUUGGCGUCCAUCACCAGCCCCUCGAUGAAGUUGGCAGACGAUUCUGAGACGACCGGUGUUAUGUCACGGUUGUCCUCGGGCGGCCCCACGGUUAGUUUCGCCACUUUGGCAUUCACCUUUUGAACCAAAGUGUCCGCAAUGGAGUCCAUCACCAGGACGACUUUCACCGCUGUGCAUCUUUGACCGCUGUUGUGGACAAGGAGAGUAUGAAUACGGGUUAGUGUCCGCAGCGGGUAACAGAUUUUGCGGAUGAUGUGAGCAACCGUCAAUUUUGGUGGCCUUAAGGGAAAGAGUAUAACUAUGAAGGAAGUUAUGAAUGCUUGCAGAUCACUUGGGUCACCUGUAAGAAAAGCCUCCUUUCACGAUGUUGGCAGCUGCCAAGUCGAUGUCGGCAUCUUCAAGCACAAUGCAAGCAUCUUUGCCACCCAACUCCAUCUGAAGAGGAAUCAUGCCGGCCUUCUUUGAAAUGGCAACUCCAGUGUCUCCGCCAGUGAAGCUGAAUAGGAAAAGGCAAUUCAUGUUAGUAAUCACAAACCUUGCAAGAGGCAAAGAGAUCAUAAAUAGCGAGAAGAUGGCCGCAAGAAUUACCUUAUGCAGUUCACCCCCGGAUGCAUAGUAAGAAAGUCACCGAUUUCAGAGCCUUUUCCGGUGACGCAGCUGAUGAGACCUUUGGGAAAACCAGCUAAGUGAAAGCAGUGCACCAUGUGAAGGCAAGAUACAGCACCCUACAAGGAGUUAUGUACAGUUUUCAGGAUAGCCAAAUUGAUCAGGAUCUAACAGAAGAAAAAAGAAACGCAAAUUUUAAUGGGAGGCUCAGAAGAGUAAACGCAAGGCCUGUAGUAUGCAAAAGUUUCUACUCCUCACGCACGCAUAACAAUACACACUGAGACACAAACUCACAAAUGAGAACAUGCACAGGACUGAAUGGGCUACAAUAGGCGCGGCCAAUAGCAUGAAACUGAGUAUCCACCAUAAUUAGAGCUUCUUUAGUUAAUAAUUAGUGAAAGUAACACGGCAAGAACAUACCUGGGUGGGAGGCUUUAGAACAAGAGAGUUUCCAGCAAUCAGAGCAGGGCCAAUCUUUGAGACAGCCAGGUUAACUGGGUAGUUAAAUGGUGGAAUGGCUAACACUACGCCAAGUGGAACCUGCAGUUCAAAACAAAAACAUUUGAAGCACGUCACAAAUCAUUUCGACCAUUAGAAGCCAAACAUCUUCUGCUCUCUCUCUCUCUCUCUCUCUCUCUCUCUCUCUCUCUCUCUCUCUCUCUCCCGUGCCCACACCCACACACAGACAUGGACGGUAGCAGAUCUAAGAUACGGAAGCACAUGGAUUGGAUGGCCUAAAAUUUCUGCUGAUCUUCCUCUAACAGUCAAAAAGGGAAUGCAAAAAGCAACGCUGUUGCUCCUGCUGCUAUGUUCGCCCUUCAUGUUGGGCUAAUAAGACAAUUCAUGUUCAUGUUUUCUCCUAAGUAUCAUAUACUUCAGAGAUUCAAUGGCCAAAUUCAUCUUUGCAGUGCCUGUUUAGGUUCUUUUCACAACUUAAGUUUUCUGGACAACUGCUAUCUAAUAUGGAACUGGGGCAUAGGUCAUCUGUUCAAGUCUGGCAUUACCUCUAGAUUGUUUUGUCCGUUACUCUCAUCAUUGUUCCAUAUUUUUUUUCCCAUUUGCUCUACAUUCACAUCAUACAUUUCCGGCUGAAAGAUGACGAUUAACAUAAAUUUGAUACACAUUGUUAGCCUGCUACUAAAUAACCUAACAAAAUAUUUAGGCUAAAAGAAGGCCACACAGAAAUGUUUGUUUAAAAAUGUGACUUCACCUAAUAUUGGGAUCUCUAUUUGUGAUACUAAGGAAACUAAUGCAAGAAGCGGCGCCGGUUGCAAGCUAAUAAUAAAUAGGUGGACCCUUUCUUUCUUUUGGUAAAAAUUUUAUAGGUGGACCUUACCAAACUUUAUCACUUUUCACUGAGUAAUGGAGGGCACUUGAUCAAGUAAAUGGCCACACCGAAAUGUUUGUUUAAAAAUGUGACUUCCCCUAAUAUUGGGAUCUCUAUUUGUGAUACUAAGGAAACUAAUGCAAGAAGCCGGUUGCGAGCUAAUAAUAAAUAGAUGGACCCUUUCUUUCUUUUGGUACAAAUUUUAUAGGUGGACCUUACCAAACUUUUAUCACUUUUCACUGAGUAAUGGAGUGCACUUGAUCAAGUAAAUGGCAUAUAACCAAGAGAAAUUUUACCUUAGAAGUGAGGCAGUACUUGGUCCUCUCGUUUCCAGGAAAACUGUCGGAGACCAGGAACGACCCCUGUCCCAGGAUUCUAACUCCUUCCUCAGCGCAAUAUGAGAUCAGAUCACCAGAUCUCACAACCUUGAUUACAUCCAAAAAAAUGGCAUAAAUCCAGUUAGUCUCAUCGCAAAAAAGCAGGAUUAAUGUAUGAGACAUUCUCUUUCUCCGUAUACCUCAGUGACCGAAUCUUUGGCUGGUUUGGCAAUUUCCUUCACAAGGCACUCGGCGAUGGGAGACUUGUGCUCCUUGAGGAGCGCGGCAGCCUUGUGAAGGAGCUCGGCCCGCUUCCAGAGCGGAGUCUUUGCCCAGGCCUUCUGUGCGCUCUUGGCUAUAUCCAUCACCUUGUUCACCUCCUCUUGUGUACAAGCUGUACAAACACACCAUCACAAAAGCCAAUUCACAUUACAAGACCACAUAAUCAAGUCAAGCUCUCGCCCUUUCAAUUGCAAGCAAUUAAUUAAACACCGAUCUCUUAAGUAAAGUAACCCCUUUUAGAAUCGAUUCUGAAGUACUUCCAAGAAAUGCAAGCUCCGUUUCGAGUUUAGUUAGGGGUGAUCGGUGGUCCAAGUUCAGUAAAGUAACCCUUUUUAGAAUCAAUUCAGCAGGAGUACUACCAAGAAAUGCAAGCUCUAUGCCUUAGAUUUAGGUAGGUAUGAACAAUGGUUGGGUUUCAACCCGGAAACCGGCCUCGCUACUCAGUUCGAUGCCAAUUCCGAGAAAGAAACUUAACUGCCAACCGGGUUCGGAUUAGCUUCCUGUUUGAGGGUCGAAACCUGCCAAUUCUACCCUGGAACCGGGCUAACUACGUCAGUUCUUAGGUAGAACCGGCGGCUUUGUCACAGGCCAGAGUACCUUUUUAAAGUAAAUUCGCGCUCUACUAACGACUAAAAACUCGAGGGAAACAAAGAGACCCCACAAUCCCCACGAUGCUAGCGCUUUCCCAAUGCACCCCAGCGGAUGGAACAGGGAGCUUCCACAUCAUAACGCGCAGGACUAAACCGAAGUUUCUGUACUUGUUACCGAACGAGGGGGAGCGAGCAUGGUACCUUGGACUUUGUACUGGGUCUUGCGGGUCGUGGGGUUGACGAUGUUGACGCUCUUGCCGGAGGCCGACUUCCUCCACUCCCCGUCGGAGUAGUACUUGUACACUUCCCCAUCCAAGAUCUCCCCAAACACCCCGGUCCCCGCCAUUGCAGCAGCUCUCUCGUCUCUCCGUGCCACUCAAGGCCUCUUCACUCGGCACACACUCCACGGACAAGGCCACACACCUACUCCCACUUCCCUACCCACAGCGAGAGAGAGAGAGAGAGAGAGAGAGAGAGAGAGAGAGAGGGAGAGGAUUGUGUGGUGAAGUGAAGGUCUGGAGAGGAAAGGAGGGAGUGAUGGGGAAUGAAGUGAUGACUCUUUGCGGGUAUAAAUAGGGGAAAGGUGAGCCACGUUUGGUUUUGCAGUUGGUGGGGUGGUGGUUCAAAGCGUGCCAGGUUAGGCUGGGAGAGCGUUAGCUGCGUCUCCUUCAUUCAUCUGCGCAUGGCAUUGCGUUGGCUUUUUUACGUUUCGUUUUCUUCCACAGGACUUUUAAGCCUUUCUUUCUUUCGUGUUUUUCACUUUCCUUUUGGGAUAUUCCAUGGAGAUCCCCUCCCUCCCCCUUUCCCCAAGGAAACGGGAAGUUUCUUACAGCCUCGUUCUUCCCGCGGCCUCCACCGUUGAAAAUAAAUCUUAUUCUACUUUUUGUCGGGAAGUCAACCAAAUUCUGUUUCUUUUUCCCUUCUUUUCUCGCAUUAAUACCACCGAGAAUUCUAAAUCCAUACGCCUAUAAUAAAUUUAUCUCAAAGUACAUUUGCCACGUAUUUAUCCUCAUUUAGUUUCCAUUUAAUUUUAUCUUCAAAUUGUUAAAUUAGAAUUUUAACGUCCGUUCAUUAUGAAUAUACUAGUUUAUGAUUUUUCGUGAUAUUGAUAUAAUUUAGUAGAAACUGACGGAAGAUAAAUUUAUUAUAAAAAUACUAGUUUGCGGUUUAAAUUUAUUAUAUGUAUACUAAUUUGAAGUUUUUCGUGAUCAAAAAAUUAAUUUAAGAUAAAUCUGUCACAUAUGUAAUAAUUUGAAAUUUUUCAUGAUAUUAACUCUUUUAUUUACAUUGGAGAAUCCAAUAUAAUCAGAAACUUGAAAGAUUACAUUAAACAUACAGAAAUAAUUUAAGGUUCCCAUCAAAAAAAUUAAAACUUCGCGGUGGGCCAAGAUUUAGGGACUAUCAACGUCAUUUUUCUUUCCUUUUCUUUUUGCCGAACAAUUCUUUCACUAGUUACUAGCAAAAAGAAUUUUUAAAAAAAAAACCCGAUAAAUGAAUUUCUAACUGAAUUAAUUGGAUGAUCGAGCGUCAACACACGUGCUAUGUAAUUGAUGCGACGACACUUUCAUAGCCCUCUUUUCUACAGCUUAGCAAACGAAACAGCUGCCGUGAGAAACCUACUUUUGUUAAUGGCCGAAAAAGAAGAUCCUCUCGCAUCUCCCAUAUGACCGGAAUUAAAAUAAUAAUAAAAAGAUACUCGCCCAGACACAGGGAGGCUCGCCGGCCCCCGGCGAGGCCGAGCCUUGCCGUCGUUGGGCGAGGCUUGGCCUCGCCUUGGCUGGGCGAGCCGGAGCUCGCCCAGUUCUGACGAGGCCAAGUGUCGCCGGUGGCUGGGCGAGCUCGGCCUCGCCCAAAUUCGGCGAGGCCGACCCUCGACGGCGUCGCCGGCCCUCAACGGCCAGUCGCUGGCCAUGGCCGAGGACGGAAGAUAAAUUUAUUAUAAAAAUACUAGUUUGCGGUUUAAAUUUAUUAUAUGUAUACUAAUUUGAAGUUUUUCGUGAUCAAAAAAUUAAUUUAAGAUAAAUCUGUCACAUAUGUAAUAAUUUGAAAUUUUUCAUGAUAUUAACUCUUUUAUUUACAUUGGAGAAUCCAAUAUAAUCAGAAACUUGAAAGAUUACAUUAAACAUACAGAAAUAAUUUAAGGUUCCCAUCAAAAAAAUUAAAACUUCGCGGUGGGCCAAGAUUUAGGGACUAUCAACGUCAUUUUUCUUUCCUUUUCUUUUUGCCGAACAAUUCUUUCACUAGUUACUAGCAAAAAGAAUUUUUAAAAAAAAAACCCGAUAAAUGAAUUUCUAACUGAAUUAAUUGGAUGAUCGAGCGUCAACACACGUGCUAUGUAAUUGAUGCGACGACACUUUCAUAGCCCUCUUUUCUACAGCUUAGCAAACGAAACAGCUGCCGUGAGAAACCUACUUUUGUUAAUGGCCGAAAAAGAAGAUCCUCUCGCAUCUCCCAUAUGACCGGAAUUAUAAAAAAAAACUGAUAAUAAAUAGAUUGCAUUUAAAAAUUGUGGGAUUUGGAGACGGAUCUGAGUUUUUGUCUGUGUUGCACCGAUCCUCGGAGCACAUCCUUGGUCCAAAAGCAGGAACUUAGGUCAAAUUUCUUUUCCUUUUUUUUUUUUUAAUUCAAGACACGUUCUCGUGGCAAUAAGGAAUGGUUUUGCAUUCGUCUUGGCCACUCUACUACCAUUUUUUUAUAUGUUAAACCAUUUCGAUGUCAUUGAAUUAAAUUUCGUGUUUGUAUUUAAUGUAAAUUUUGAUCGUGACUCAGAAGAUCCCAUUUCUCAAAAUAACUUUUAAAAUGCACGCAUGACUCCUUAAACAUGUGCACACCAAACUCAUAUGCGCACACCAUCACAGACCAAACUCAUAGGAGCACACCAAAGUUAGUGUGGAAUAAAAAAUUCCAUUUAUAUACAAACGUAAAUCAUUCAAAAUGCCAACAUGCUGUCCUUUUCUUUCUUUUUUUUCUUUUUUCCCCCCUCAUUUGCUGGUCUUGUUCGAAGCUUUGGAAAUAUCUUGGCAUGCCCAUGACACAGAAAAAGGGACAAAAGAAGUAUGAAACAAAUUCGAGCGAUAAUUUCUUCUGAAAAAAUUAUGGGCAUCAUUGAAUAUUUCUGAAAUAAUAUUUAUUUUGUCUUAUCCAUACUUCGUGAAGAAGGAAUGGGGAAUGUCCCAUACCUAAUGUCCAUAAUCCCCCAACCGUGCAAUCCUUUGGUUGUGAAUUUCAAUGUGGCAAUAAAAAUGACAUUAUCUAUCUGCAGGCCUAAUUAAUAGUUCAAAUCAUGCACAUUAAAAAUCCAUUUUAUCUCGAAAGAAUUCGCACCAAUUAUUGGUAUCAAAUAAAAAAUUCAUCCUUGUAUAAUGGAAGGGAAAUAUCCAUAUACAUGUCUUAUUCUUUUCAAUAAUCCAUAUUUGUAGCAAUGAAGCACUAUUUUUUACCCUUAAGGAAGAAAUGACUGGUUACAAAUAUAUGUGAUCUAUAAUCUCUGUAAAGGACCAUGUAUACUUGCUUAUCUAUCAUUAGUUGAAUCCAUUAACAUAAACAUGAGGGCAAGAAGAGGCAAUACAGAAGUUUGUAAAUUGUAAAAAUGAGUUCACGUGAAUUGUCAUACACAGGUACUUCCAUGUAAUAACUCUAGUGAAUUGUCCUACACAAGUACUUCCAUGUAAUAACUCUAUUGAAGGGAUCCUGUUACAAAAAUAGCUUUCGGUACAUGUGUUACUGCUUUGACUAGCGAAUAACCAAUUUGGUCCCAACCAAUUUGAUCCCAACGCAAGAAAUAACCAAUAACUAAAAGGAUGUAGAUACAGCCAGAAUCACACUUGUAAAUUACGUUAAUUUAUGAAGUCUUUUUAAAACCACUCGCGAGAUGCACACGAAAAUGCAUGCAAAAUCAUUUUUAGGACCAUCAUACUUACCAGCCAUCCAUGAAUUGAUCUUAUUAACACGAAACAGUUGGCUACUAUCCAAAUACGGAAGAAUUGAAAUCUUUGAUCAAGACAUUAUAUAUAAAUAAUAUGAAUUGCCUACAUAAGACUUUUCAUAUAGAGGAUAACCAGUUUUAUUACUCACUACAAAGAAUUUCCAUGAAAGAAACAUGUGAAUUCACUGGAAAAUCAACACUACGCAUGUCAAAUGAAAUUGUUGUUGCUAUCUACUUUAAUAACCAAUCAUUGGUUUAAAUUUAAAUAAAUAACUAAAUAAAAUAUAUAGACUUUUCUUUUGAUCACAAGUCGAUAUAUCAUCUUGAUUGGAGAUCCCCUAUAUGGAUAUAUACACAUUCCAGUUGAUUGAAUCUAGUUCUAAUUAAUUUAUAAUGAAGCAAAGAUAUCCACAGAGUGAUUCAUGCUAUUAUGAUAUUCACAACCAAGAAAUAUCUUAUUUUCUUUUGGAUAGGUCUUAGGAAAAUUUUAAAAAAAGAGCCUAAAGUGGACAUUAUUUCUAAUAAGAAUCCAAAGUGCCCUCAUUUUCUCAAAUAAAGGCAUGAAGUGGCUAUAUUAGUCUCAAAAAAAUGGCUUGACCUCGCCAUCUAGUGGAGGACAAUUUCGUCUUUCAAAUUUUUUUCUUUCUUCUUUCUUCUUUCAUUGAAAAAACAAACUAAAAAAACUAAAACUUACAUACAUACAAAAAAACUAAAAAUUACAUACAUACAUACAUACAUACAUAUGUAUGUAUGUUUAUAUAAAGAAACGCAAGGGAGAGAUGGCUCCCUCCCGCCUGUGGCCGCUGCUCCAUCAUCGGUGGGGGCAAUGACAAUGGCCAACAGCCCUCACGUAGGUCUAGUGAGGACGAGUCAAGGGUUGUCGGAUCUACGCAAGGGUGGACGACCCUUGCCAAGACCGAGAUGAGGGCAAGCAACCCUAUCAGCUGUCAGUACUGCCCCAUUGGUGAUGGAGCGACCUAUAUUUUUGCUUUAAUAAAACUUUUGUCUUUUUUAUUUUGUUUUUAAACUAACUUAACUAAAAUUCAAAUUAAAAAUGUGUUUGGACAAAAAUACUCUUGAUCGGCUAGAAUAUUUUGUCGGGCGAUGAGACUAAGCCUUUAUUUGAGAUAACCAUAACCACAUCAAGCCUUAUUUGAAAUAAUAUACAUUUCAUGUCCUUAUUUGGAAUUUUUCCUAAAUCUUGAAAGGAGAAGGAAGGCUCAAAUGCCAAUAAGUUUCUAGUACCGAAUUGACCGAAUGCGAUAUUACUCAUUUUGUGAAAUUCUAGUGCCAUAAAUAAGUUACAAAUCACUAAACGAACUUUCGAAUGUAGUUUGUUGUGUUACAUCAUAUGUGGAAGAAGUUUAUCCCAAAUCAAUCUACCCUUGUGCUGAGUCCUGUCAAAAAAUUUAUUGGCAGGGUGAGUGCAAGAGGGGAAAAUUUCACCGGCAAUUUAUGAGCUUGCAGUGGAUUCGCUCUCUUGUUGUCGCUAUUUCUAUCUGUAAGAAUAUAAUGCUCUAUCAAGGUGCAGGCCAUCGUUGUCACUAUAAUUUAAUGGAGACAUUCCAUCGAGUUUUCAGCCACACAUCCCAUGUACCAACAAUACCAUUGUGGCCUCGACUUGAUUUUGUAAGUGAUCUUGACUUGAUCGCGAUAGGGUAAUUAUGUAAUAUGUUGUCAACGUAUUUUUUUCUUUAUUUUACUUGAACAAUUUCAUACAAUAUUAAUUUGAGUGUGUGCAUAGUUAUAACAUUCAAAUCAGCAGUGAAUAAGACUGUUUGUGUAAUUUUUAUUUUUUAUAUUGACGAAGUAUACUUUGGUUUUCCUUUGUGGUAAUAGAACGGGCAGCACUAAAUGACACCAACUUUGGCUCCAUACUUAUUAGAAUAACAAAAAUGAUCGAACUAUCGGUCUUUUUAUCAUUCUAAUUCCCCAGUUGUGUACAUAGCCAAAGCUGAGGUGGACUUAGCGCCGUCCUAAAACAAGGUAAGGGAGGGAGAAGAAAUAAUGGAAUGUCCGGUAUGGCCGUAUGAGUUUUCAUUUUACUUUAUGAAUUGAUCUCUCUCUUUAACCUUAGAGAUUUAAUCGAAGUUUAUGCGAUGUUUUCUUUUGUUGGUCGAGAAAAUUUUAUAUGAUGUUAAGUACCUUGAGGUUAUUGAAAACAUAUGAAUAUUGCCAUUUAACGUUACCUUAAAAAUUUAUUUAUCUUGCAUAUUAGAGUCAGGAUGUGUGAAUUUAUAAUAUCAUAUGAUAAAAGAUGAUCUCGAUAUGAUUAGGAAAAUUGUGGUCCAUAAAGUAAAUCUAGUGCAUUUUAGUUAAUUCAGUCAUAAAUUAUUCAAUUAUGUCAAUUUAUAAUAAACAUUUUCAUGUUUUGCCAAUUGAGUCAAUCCGAUCAAAUUUAACUAAAAAUUGCUGACGUAGACACUAACCAUUAUACAUGACAUGGUCAAUGUUGAUGUAAACAUUUUAAUAAUUUUGGUUUUUCUUUUCUUUACAAGUUUUUUAUUGAGUGCUAGCGAGAGUUGCCGGUCAACCCUCAUCGGCUCUGGGUGAGGGUCACCUUGCCUCAUCAAGCCCUCUCCAGCCAGCCAUUGCUAAUGGCAGGUCUCCUUGUCUAGCCCUCUCCAACCACCACCAAGAGGGAAAGAAGAAAACAUAAAAAGGAAAAAAAUUCUAAAAAAUAAAUUUGCAAAGUUGUGCAUGUUAGUGCCUAUACGCCAUAUAGCAUGAUCGCCGCUUAUGGCAGGUCCCCUUGCCUAGCCCUCUCCAACCACCAGCAAGAAGGAAAGAGGAAAACAUAAAAAGGAAAAAAAAAAAUUGCAAAGUUGUGCAUGCUAGUGCCUAUACGCCAUAUAGCAUGAUCGCCGCUAAUGGCAAGUCUCCUUGUCUAGCCCUCUCCAACCACCAGCAAGAAGGAAAGAAGAAAACAUAAAAAGGAAAAAAAUUCGAUUUUUUUUUUUUUUUGCAAAGUUGUGCACGUCAAUGCCUAUACGCCAUAUAGCAUGAUGGUCACUAACUAGGCUACGACAUCUAGCGUUUUCCACUCAAAAUUAGCCCAAUUGACUUAAUUGAUAAAGCAUGAAAAAAUUUAGGACUGAAUUAACACAAUUAAAAUAUUUAAGACUGAAUUGAUCAAAGUAUAAUAGGUUUAAGGCUCUUUGGACAAUUUUCUCAUGUAUGAUUUUGUGCACUAUUUGAUAAUUGGUUGUUAAACCAAAGAAAAACAUAAAUUGACGUCAUGCUUCAUUAAUAUAACUUGGUUUGUUAAAUUAUUUAAGAGCUAAUAUAACCAAAAAUCUCAAAUGAUAUAUAUGUUCUCGAUUUAUCCAAAAUUACUUUUUUUGCCACUAAAAUUCCAAACCGAUACACUCGUACCACAUUUAUCCUCAACUCCUUUUCCUAUCGUAAAAAACCAUAAAUUGGUACAUUAGUUCCAUGUUUACCCAAAAUUAGUUUUUAAGUCACAAAAAUCCAAAAUCACCAAAAUUUUAGAUUAAGAAAUAUGCUAAGUUUUUUCCUAAGAGCUCUCUCAAGUUUCAAAAUUUUGCUAAAACCUUAAAUUUUUUGUGAUAAAAAAAAUUAGUUUAGGAUAAAUGAAGUAUAUGUGUAUUAUCGGUUUGAAAUUUUUUCAUGAAAAUUAGUUGAAGUAAAUGUGGGACAUUAUACUAGUUUGGGAUUUUUUUAAAACACAAAAAUUUGUUUUGGGCAAAUGCAGCAUGGAUAUAUCAAUAUAAGAUUUUUUUUUGUGGUAUUAACCAAACAUUUGAUGGAUCCAAAAAAAAAAAAAAAAGAAGCUUAUGUUCGAUGCUUUCCAAUAAUUUUAUUAAUUUUCUCUAACGUGUCAAGUUUGUUACCACCGCCCUCAGCGGCGCAGCUUGCUUGAGCUCUCUCCCCCUCACGAAGGGGAGAAAUUCAAAUCCCAAAGAUGUCAUUAGGGAUUCUUACCUGAAGUACCGUGGUGAUGAGUCUUGCAAUCGCUCCCUCACGGGGUUCCCUAAGUUACCAAAAUAAUAAUAAUUAUGCUUGUUUCAUCACGAAAUUCAAGUUGACUUUCACGAUUUUAAUUACAUGGCCAACUCCCUUCUCUUUCCAUUUCUCAAUGCGAUCUUUUCUUGUAGUCAGUGAAUUUAAAUUCGUCAUGUAUAUUUUGCUCUAAUUAUAUUAAUUUAUUCUUUUAGAUUCUUCCCCACUUUUCAUUUUAUACUUUUCUAUGUUAAUAUUAAUCUCAACGAAAAUACUAACAUAAAUUUUUAAACAUUCCAUUCUCAAUUUACUGAAUUUGACUCCUAUUUUUUUCAAUGAAAGGCCUUUCUUUUUCUUUUUCUAAUUGUCAUGCUUCUUCUUUUUUUCUUAUGUUGUUAAUGUCUUAAUUCUUCAUGUUGGUAAUCUUUAAUGCAUAUCGCUAUUAUGGGUGCGUUUGGGAACCCCUUUUCAAGGGGCUUUGGGGAGCUAAAGAUGUUUGGGCCAAAGUGGAGGUGUUUGGGAACCAUUUUCGAAAGCAAUUUCCCACCUAGAGGUUCAUAUUUCCUCACACCCUUUUCUAAUCUCCUCACGUGUUGCAUAAAAACAUUAUAGGCAGCUUCUGGAAUCACGUCUUGAGGACCAGACAAAUGGUCAAAAUAGAGAAAAGGAAGAGUAGCUCCGCGCCAGAAGAAGCAAAGAUCCGGCUGGGGGUUGUUGGAAAUUUUCAGUGAGAAAAGCUCCGCAGCUACUUCAACUCGAGGGUACUUGGAAGGAGCUUUCAUGAACAUACGUGCCGUUUUUUAGGAUGUACCUUAACAUAUCCUUAAAAGGCUUUAUUUUUAGUUCAAUCUAGAUCUUGAGACUUCGGGACGUAGAAAAACACUUCAAAAGUAUUCCCUUCUCUUGAGGAAGACAAAUAUAUAGAGGGAAACAAGUAGGGGUAUUGGAUGCGUGGGCACCGGCAAGUUAAAUAAUGGUCCAUCAAGAUUAACUGACUAGCGGUGCAGCCUUAACAUGUUGACACAAGUCACCUAAUGUUUGGUGAGGCUACUUAACUCGAGUUAGGGGUGUACCCGGGAACCGGACCGGCCCACCCGGAAAACAGUGUUAAUAACCGGUUCUCAUUGAAACUGGUCCGAGAAUCGGUUCCCAAAAUUCGGAACCGAUUUAAACUAGUUCGAGAAUCGGGUUCGAUUGAUUACCAACCCAGGAAUCGGUUUCCGAACCAGUUUUGUAAGUAUAGGUCAAAAAUCCUAUUUUUUUCCUCUUAUUUCUAUUCUUACUCUUGCAACGUUUUUCCUCUUGGUUCUCUCAAACACACACGGCACUUCUCUUUCAUUGUUCCUCUUCCUCACUUGUUUCUCUCCCUCGUCGACUCCUCUCGCACUGUCUGAUGGAUGGACGGUGUUCGUCGCAUUAAAUUUUUGUAUAUCAUGUGGAUUGGCUCACAUAAUUUCUCUUUUGUAGGAAUUAUGCUUACAUAAAUGAGUAGCUUUCAUAUAGUAGUUGUGGGAAUAAGACUAAUAUUAGACCCAUGUUUGUUGCUAAUUCUUUGCCUUAUAAUUUUAUUUAUUAUAAUUAGCUAUGUGGAUCCUUAAUAUUUCAUUUAGUCAAAAAAUUCGUGUAUUUAUUUAUUACAAGUGCUUAAUAUUUGAGGAUUAUGUUAUUUUUUCGCGUAUUAAUAUAAAAUUCGAAGUCAUAUAGAAUAUCAAGAAAUUGCAAAACAAGUUCUAGUGAAAAUAGAGUUGACCAUGAAAUCAAAUCGGAAAAACAAAGUGGGUCGGGUAUAGUGUUCAAUACAAAUAAAGUCAGGUACAUGAUCUAAAAAACGGGAAUACAAUAUCGGAUACAGGGUUCAAGUCUGGACCCUACCCACCCUGGACCACUCUUAACCCGAGUGAAGUUAAAGGAGCUUUUGUGUCCACACAUGCUGUUUUUGACAUACGGGGUCUGGCUGCAGUUUCUCUCCUUGGAGCCACAAGCCGUGGCCGUGAGCGAUGCUGUGGGGAUGUUCUUGACAGCAGAAUGGACCACUUAUCGAUUAUAGCCAGAAAAGCCCACGACCCCACCCCAUCCGUGGUUUUCGUGGAGCACGAUUCCCUUCUGUCAAUUCACUACGCCCACCAGUUUCUUCCCCUCUCUUCCUGCUGUCCCUGUCUUGUCCAUUCACGAGAGAGAGAGAGAGAGAGCCAUCUGUCUAAACGGACAUUAAAGGCUGGAGAUUUAUAGCAUGACCCAUGUAGCUUACUUUUGUGGAAUCUACGAAACCUGCAUUAAGAUGAGCCAAGAUUAGGAUGGUGUCUUUAUCGAAUGACAAGGGUAGCUUCCCGUUCUCGCGCUUUGGGAUUUUGCCCAAGCGCAGUUUGAAAGACAGUAAUCCUGGUCCCGCGUCCAAAUUACUUAGGACAGGGCGGACAUUGCUCAGCACGAGUGUUCAUAGCAUAGAAGCAGCAUCGUUUAGUAGUUACCCGAGAAUCCCUGCAAUCAAAGGCAAAAGAUCCAUCUGCAAUACACAUCCUCUUGUUCUGUAAUCAUAGUAUUUUACGUGAUGCAUUCGAAUAUCAUGGCUUAACUUAUAUUUAUAGAUACAUGCAAACCGCAUUGUCCACGUGCAUCGAGUAAGACUCCGCCCAUAAGGUGGCGAGUGUAUUUUCAAGGCUAACAUAUUAUCUAUCGGAUCCAAACCAUGCACUUAACCACUUAACGAACCCCUUCUUUCCACGAUUGUCAAUGCCGGAUGCUCUAUGAACGCGGAUAACAACCGCGAGGUCGUUGCAUGUGCCAGCCGCAUGACAUUCCAUCCCGACUUCUUUAAAAGGCUAAUCAUCCCCCCCGCGGGAAACAUCAGAUAAUUCGCAACACUUGAGCUGGGCUUGGGCCUGGGCCUGGGCCUGGGCUUGAAUAUUCGGUAUAAAGUCUAGAUAUCGAUGUUGGGCCUCCUGCGGAAAGCCCAUGGAUCCGCCGCCCUCCCCGGCCCAUCUGAUUGCCCAUCGUUCCGUCUGCAUUUAUCCGCUCUCUAAUCGGUCAAAUCGAAGACGAACUGAAAAUCCCUGCUCGACGAAGGCGGUGAUCGAUCAGGAAUUCCUGCAACGAAGCUCGAUUCUCCUUCUUUCUCCUUCUCAUUCUUCAAUCCGAGAGCUUCCCUUCGAUUCUCAGCCGAAAGGAUCUUCGAAGAUGCAGCUCGAAUCGGAGAAACCCUUCCAAAUCUUCCUUCAGUCGCACGACCUCCGCAUCCCCACUCGAACCCUAACCCUAUCCCCGGCGCCGUCCGACACCCUCCGCCACCUCAAGCGCUCCCUCUUCCCCGCCGCCGACUCGCCGCCGGAUCUCUACUUCACCCUCGAUGGGAAGGCCCUCGACGAUUCGACCCCGAUCGUGGGCUCCGGGGUCUCGCCGCUCUCGACCCUGGUCCUGCGGUGCAGGCUCCGGGGCGGCGGCGGCGAUGGCGGCGCGACGGGGGCGGAGUCGCGGGACUGCUACUUGAACAUGUACGCGGAGAAGAAGCCCGACAAGGCGGACCCGAACGAGCAGAGGAUCUCGAAGUGGGUGAAUUGCGCCUUGUCCAGCGAGCCCUUGAGGGAACCCUGCGUGGUGGACAAGUUGGGGAAUAUCUUCAAUAAGCAGGCUCUGGUGGAGGCUCUUCUGGGCAAGAAAUUGCCCCGGGAGUUCGGAUACAUAAAGGGUCUCAAGGAUAUGGUCAACAUUAAGCUCACGGAGAUUCCGGGCCUGGAGGAUGAUGUCAGCGGGGGCGCGGGCGCGCGGUAUCAGUGCCCGAUUGCCGGUCUCGAGUUUAAUGGGAUGUACAAGUUUUUCACAUUGAGGACCUGCGGCCAUGUGAUGAGCGCCAAGGCGUUGAAGGAGGUGAAGUCGUCGUCUUGUUUGGUGUGUCAUGAGGAGUUCAGUGAAUUGGAUAAGAUUGUGAUCAAUGGGAGCGAGGAGGAGGUGGCGGUCCUGAGGGAGAGAUUGGAGGAGGAGAGGGCAAAAUUGCGAGAUAAGAAGGCGAAGAAGGUGAAGAAUGGGGAGGUGGUUGCUGGUGGAGAAGAAAUUACUCAGUUAACUGGUGCUAAACGCGGCAUUGAGGUAAAGCCUGUUGAGAAAGCCUCUGUUAAAGUUGAUGAAAAUGGGAAACUGAAAAAUGGUGGACGUGGAGUGAAUGGUGUGCCUUCUGAUGGAGCUAAGAGGUUUAAGGCGACAGAUAUAGUCCCCCGUAAUGCUACAAAGGAUGUUUAUGCAUCGAUUUUUACGUCUUCGAGUAAAAGUGACUUCAAAGAGACGUAUUCUUGCAGAUCCCUCCCGCUUAAUAGGAAUUAGUUCUGGAAGGAUCUGAAACUUGAGCACCCUUGAUGAGUUGUCUUUGGCCAGUCUGGGUGUUUUAUUAUAAAUCAUGGUUCGCCAUUGAUGAUUUAGUUGUUUGUUGAUGUUGAGAUUCUCUUACUGUGGAAUUCUUUUGAUGUUUACAAUCAGAUUGUCUCGUUGACGAACAUUGUACCUAACCAUGAAAUGCAAGUAGUUUAUUUAUAUUGAGCCAUAUAUUUUUCUUUUUAUGAACUUUACGAAUAUUAUAAAGACUCUCUCACUCCUUACGGAAUUCCCUGCAAAUUAUAUGUUCUGUGUAUGCUUUGGUUCUGUAGUCCAUGAAGUCUUUUAUAGAAGCAUGGCUGUGUAUAGUGUUCUUCUAUAUUAUAUCUUCUUGAUAUUGUUAUGUCAUAAUUUCAGAGCUUGAAGCAUGUAACUUCCCCAGGUUUGUGCAUUAUCUGUGUAUAUUAUAGCGUCAUUGGUAGGAUAACUUUCUCCAAUGUUACUCCUUAGCUAUGUCUUAGGAUGGGACUACCCUGCAAGGUGAAAUACUACUUAGUCACUGAUGGUGACCGUGAGUGAAAGGGUAAAAGCACCUGCAUUUACAAGAUGUGAAAACCUGUAUGCAGAAUGAGCCUGCAAGUUGUGAUUGGUAAACAGAGCUGCAGUGAAAGUGAAUGGUUGUUAAGUCGGUGAUUUUAGUCCCAAACUCGGUGAGCUAACCAUGAGCAGGUUGAAAUUAGGGCAAUACCUAGUGGAGGACCAAGCCAUGGGUAGAACAAAUUCCUCAGCUUCCACACAUGUCAAAGAAUGCAUUGAUUUCGCAUUUGUUGACCAGUGGAUCGGAGCGGAACUAUGUGUGACCAAUUGACACAAUUAUAAACCAAUUUCAGCCAAGGAAGAUUCGUACCUGCUGUGUGCCAUGAUUCCUUAAGGGCUGGGAUGUCUUGAAAUGAUCCCUUGGAGAAAGACUCCUAUUACUGUGGAUUACCAAUAUUGCUAUGGGGAAGUGGUUUGUAACAUUAUGGCCCUUCUUUGCUAUUUAUGCCUUCAGAAAUACUCUAAGCUGACUGUCGAAUUCGGGUUAGUUGUGCUAUUUGGGACAUCUGCUCUAUGCACAUGAGCUGAGUAUUCUUUUAAAACUUUUUCUCAGUAUAUGAUAGUAUAAUAUCAUGCAAGCUCGUGUUCCUGCAGCAGUUUUUGAUGACUGUUUUACUUGCUAUUAUUCAUUUUUGUUGUGGUCUUUGUUCUCUGCAAUGGAAAUAAAAUUGAGGUUCUGUUCAUUCAGUUUAUGUAUGUAAGAUGUUUCUUAAGUCUCUUUAAAAUUGUAUAUGUCAGUGUAGUUCAUUCUUGUCAAGUUUGAAUGUUCGAGUUGGAGUAUUAAUUGAGACAGGUUCAGGCUUCAUAAUGAUCGACUCAAUGGGAUCGUGGGCUAAUUGUGUAAUUGACUUUGGAUAUGAAUCAUAUGUUAUAUAUUUCUUUGAUGUUAUCAAGAUGAAGUAUAUACAUGACUGUCAAUUAUUUGUGCACUUUUUAGAUGUUCUUUCUUAUGCUCAAAUUCAUUCGAUCGUCCAGACUUCAACCAUGAUAGUGCAGAUAGUUCCGGCACCAGCCCUUUCCCUGCUACCGUUUUCUUUUUCUAUGCCCUCACAGCUCCUAGGAAUGGUAGGGUCCCUUCACCGUGCACAGGUUUAAGUAUAUGUAGUUGCCUUUUUGACUAAUUGGCUUCAUAGUGAAUAGCUUCCUCUUUUCCGUAUUAUGGCUUGCUACUUUUUUGAAGACCUAAUGGAUUACAGAACUUUCUCAGCGCAUUGUUUUCAAGGGCUCAUUGUCAUCACAGGCAAAACAAUGUCUCAAAAUGGGCUGAAAAUGAUCCUAUGGGGAGCUUUCACUUGCUCUAUGAUAGUUAUUGGGCAUGCUGAAUCAACAUUCAACAAUGUCUUUUUGACUAAUUGGCUUCAUAGUGAAUAGCUUCCUCUUUUCCGUUUUGCCAUGUUAUGGCUUGCUACUUUUUUGAAGACCUAAUGGAUUACAGAACUUUCUCAGCACAUUGUUUUCAAGGGCUCAUUGUUAUCACAGGCAAAACAAUGUCUCAAGAUGGACUGAAAAUGAUCCUAUGGGGAGCUUUCACUUGCUACUUUUUUUAAGACCUAAUGGAUUACAGAACUUUCUCAGCACAUUGUUUUCAAGGGCUCAUUGUUAUCACAGGCAAAACAAUGUCUCAAGAUGGACUGAAAAUGAUCCUAUGGGGAGCUUUCACUUGCUACUUUUUUUAAGACCUAAUGGAUUACAGAACUUUCUCAGCACAUUGUUUUCAAGGGCUCAUUGUUAUCACAGGCAAAACAAUGUCUCAAGAUGGACUGAAAAUGAUCCUAUGGGGAGCUUUCACUUGCUCUAUGAUAGUUAUUGGGCAUGCUGAAUCAACAUUCAAGAAGUUGACACCGGUUGCUUGGAGAAGUUUUGCUUAGAAACAAAGAGAAACUCGUGACCAGAACAGGAUGCAUAAUGACCUUUGCCAGACUGAUGAUCACCGAAGAAGAGUAUGCAAAUGUAGGGAAGUCGCAGACAUCCAGCCUCUGGUAAUUGGCCAUCUGAUCCUUCAAGAAGUUUUCACUUGCUGUAUGAUAGUUAUUGCUCACACUAAAUCGACACUUGAGAAGUUACACUGGUUGCCUGGAGAAGUUUUGAUUGGAAAGAAAGCGAAACUAGUGACCGGAACGGGAUGCAUAAUGACUCUGUCGCAGAUUGAUGAUCACUGAAGAAGAGUAUGCAAAUGUAGGAAGCUGCGGACAUCUGGGCUCCCGGUAAUUGGCCAUCUGAUCAUGGGCUCAUGCGCAGUCGCAUGCAAAUGGAGGAUGCACGAUUCGAAGCAUGGCACGGUUUUCGGAGCUGGGUUCGCGGAUGCACUGAACUUGGACUUUGCAUGACAGACCAUCUCCAUUUCUCCUCCUCUGUAUUGACCAUUAUCUGGCAAUAGCUGUUGUUUUUGGGGACUUGUAGCUGUCACGUUAGUGUGCUUGGUAAGGUCGUUGUUCCAUUGGUACUCGUCGCGUGCGACUCUUUGGUUUCAACCAUUCCAGCAUUCCACGAUAUUCACCCUCACUCUCACUGAGGGCAUGGUUGCUUUUCUUAGAAUAAGAACUCCUGUAGAUUAGAUUGAAUAUGGUCAUGCACGACCACUCAAGUUUCGAAUAGGUCAAGUGCAAAAUGCUCAGCUUGAGGUACAUAAUUCCUGCAACAAAGGCUAUGUAGAGGCCGUUCGAAUACGUUUUCAUGAACUAAGCAUAUUUUACAUGAAAAUACUCUUUGGGAACAUAAAUUAUGAUCUCGAAAGCAUAAAUUCAUCAUAUUUCAUGAUGAGAAUGUGAAUCUCUUCAUUGGGAGAAAGCAACUAUUUUAUUUUUUAUGCUGAUUGAGUUAACUAAAUGCUGUUUAUAAAAGGUAAAGGAUAGCAGCAAAAAUGCAUUGGUCAUACAUUUUGUACCCCUCAUUUUAUAUCAUUACUUGAAUAAUGAGGGUGUGUUAUUGCCUACUCACCUUCCUAAGUUAGGUUUAAAGGUUCACCUAGGAAGGUUUUACAACAACUUAGAAGAGGUCUAGCCUCUCCAGGUAUGUCUACCAAUGCCUGUCCACGUUCUAAGGAGAGGUGGCGGGCUACUUGGAUUCUCCCAAAACAAUGUCACGGACACGGCACCUAACUCUCCCUACAGCUAAAUUGAUAUUUUUCUUCCUGGUUUAGUAGGGAAUACAGACCACAACCAAACGGAGUUUUCCACCCUAUGGAGGUUCUGCCCCCUAUCUAGAGGACCCUUGAGCCUUUUAUAAACCUAUUUGGUGUUAAACCUAGCCAUUAUAUUUUUUGAGGCGUGAGUGCUAUCUCUACGCUCCUUUGUUUUACGUUGGGAAGGAACCCCUAUAGAAACCUCUAUAGAGGGGCCAGUGCCUAUUAGUUGACUGCCUCCCCCAUUGGAGACAGCCCCAUCCUUUAGGAACAGGACAUUAAGGGGUCAACCUCCUCUCGAAGCUUCUCCAUUCUAUUUCCCUGUAGGCCUUUUGAGGACUUGCUUAGGUCCGACUGUUUAUAAAAGGUAUAGGAUAGCAGUAAAAAUGCAUUGGUCGUACAUUUUGUACUCCUUACUUUAUAGCAUUACUUAGAUAACCUUAUCUUGAAAGAGUGAUUAUUGCGAACACUUCCGGUCUAUCCAAUUAUAAUCGCUAUGACAUUCACACCGCUUUUUUUUUCCCGCUUUGCACACGCGCCUCGUUUCUCAUCACAACACUUUUGAUAAUUUGAAUAAGUCUUGCUAACAAUUGCCUUUAAGACAAGCACCUUUAGAAUAUUAAAUUAACUUAAUCAAGACAUUUUGAGAACAAAAGAAUUACGCGUUAAUUUAUUAACAGACAAUGAUUAACGAAAACCCUAAGGACACUCAUUAAACACCUGUUCAUGGGGAAAAAAAAUAUCUUGCCAUUCUCUCUUUCAGAAUUGGAAGUGCUGUUACAUCCAACAGUGAAAUGACAUUCAAUCAUGAAAAACCAUGUUCCACACCUUAUAAUAAUAAAAAUAAUAAAAAAUUUGAGAGAGAGGGAGAGGCGGCCCGGUCCGGUCCGGUCUGGCAAUAUAAGAGAGAGGCAUCACCCGACAACCACCGACUUAUCUCCCCAUACAGCCUUGAAUCGCAUGUCCUCCUCACGAUGUGAGCACAGGAAGGCAGCCCUUGCUCUCUGCAAGUGCCUUUGAGCCCUUCCUCUGCGAGCUCCUCCCAUUCUCUACAGUCCGCCCUCAAUCCAGGAACCCAAAAAAAAAACCAUAAAAAAAAAAAAGACGCAGUUUUUAUCGCCUGUCGAACAGAAAAAACCCCCCCUCCAACAAGAAGAUUUUCCCCCUUCAAAAAGUCAAGAAUCGUUUCCCCACCCCGACAGAAAUAAAAAAGAAAAGAAAAGAAAAACGUCCAGAUCCCAUUUGGAGCUCCUCGGUCGCGACCCUUUUGGUGAUUCCUCGUGCGCCCACGAAGGGUCCUCGGCUCGAAUAUCCUCAGGUAAAGAUCUUUGUCCAAUUGGGUGUUUCUCCUUUGUCGGGUCCUUUCUCAAGUUCUUGCCUUGAGAUGGGUAUGCGUGUGGGGGUGGUGAUGGCUUCUUUUGAUUUUCUGGGUUUGUGUUUUGUUGUGACGCAGAUUCUGGGUUAUCGUUGUCUUUCGGAUCGGGUUUGGUAUAUUGGGCGCAUUGGGAGGACGGGAAAAAUUCAAGAAUGUCCGUUCUGUCGAAAAGCGAUUCUGUUGAGAUUAGGGAGGUUUGGGAAUACAAUCUGGAAGACGAGUUUUCGUUCAUUCGCGAGAUCGUGGAUGAUUAUCCCUACAUUGCCAUGGACACCGAGUUCCCUGGGAUGGUCCUUCGCCCGGUGGGGAAUUUCAAGAGCAGCUCCGAGUAUAAUUACCAGACCCUUAAGGCCAAUGUCGAUCUUUUGAAGCUAAUCCAGUUGGGCCUGACCUUCGCGGAUGAGAAGGGAAAUCUCCCGACCUGUGGAACGGAUAAAUACUACGUGUGGCAAUUCAAUUUCCGUGAGUUCAAUUUGAAUGAGGAUGUUUAUGCUCAUGACUCGAUCGACUUGUUAUCUCAAAGUGGGAUCAACUUCAAGAAGAACAACGAGGUGGGCGUUGAUGCUCGUCGCUUCAGUGAGCUAUUGAUGUCGUCCGGGAUAGUGUUGAACGAUAGUGUUCACUGGGUCACAUUCCACAGCGGGUAUGACUUCGGGUACUUGCUUAAGGUGCUGACCUGCCAGAGUCUGCCGAGUACACAGUCCGGGUUCUUUGAUCUGAUUAAGAUGUACUUCCCCGUGCUUUACGAUAUCAAGCAUUUGAUGAAGUUUUGCAAUAGCCUUCAUGGGGGUUUGAAUAAGGUUGCCGAGUUGUUGGAAGUGGAACGGGUUGGCAUAUGUCAUCAAGCGGGUUCUGAUAGUUUGCUCACUUGCUCCACUUUCAUGAAACUGAAGGAGAACUUCUUUAAUGGCUCGCCUGAGAAGUAUGCUGGGGUUUUGUAUGGUCUGGGUGUUGAGAAUGGACAAAAUGGUUACUAAGAUGAGGAAAAAAAAAUAGUAUCUGAAAUAAAAAUUUAAAAUAUAAAAUUUCUCUGCGUGUGUUCCCCGUUCACAUCAUUCUUUUUUCUUUUUUUCUUUUUUUUUGGGCACAGUAUGGUCGAUUGGAUUUUGGUCACUCUCCAGGAUUGACGUGGUACAUAGUUUGAAGUCCUUGAGAAUGUUAGCAAGUAGUGAGGAUAGGAGAAUAGCCAUGUUUACCUAGGAAACGGCAUUUAUACUUCUCAUUUUGCUUUACAUCGAAACAUUGCAGACAAGAUGACUGACCUUUGUUGUGUUUUAGAGCUUGUCUUGAAGGAUGAACCUUAUAGUGCACAGAAUCUGAGGGUGCAUGCUUGCGCGCAGGAUGCAUGCACACAUGGCGCAGACAUAAUAUUCACUCACUGCAUGCGCAUCUCCUUUUGUAUCGACUACUUUUGGGUCAUUUGACUAUACCUUGCAAUGUCACCCAUUAUGCCUUGAUCUAUAAUUUUAAUUAGUAUUAAUGCUAGGUUAGGACAUGGACGUGACCCGGGGAGGGUUUUCCUGUAGCAACAUCCAGUAGGUUCUGGUUCAAUUCCCGCCUGCUUCCUCUCCUGCGUUACUUAGGAAGAGAAAAGCUAUAUUGUGGCCUGUGAAUUUCUUUUUUCUUCUUUUCCAUUUGGAUCAUUGCUAUGUGACUUAAGGCUUCAUCAUGUUAAGUGUUCAGUUUCUCGGUCUGUCUUUGUGUCCCAGCUCCUUCUACUGUGUUACCCAUAUGCUCCUCAAAUAUUGGUAUGGAUAUUUAGCUAAUGCCAGGUCUUUAUUUGGAGCAGGUUUUGUUCUUUUAUGCCUGAAUCACACAUUUCUCAGCACAUCUCCUUGUCUUUUCUGUUUUUAAUGUCUAAUUUGGUCUGGAAGUGGUGUCGAAUCAUCAUGCAGUCAUGAUAUGCUGAUUUAUAUUCUGAGCAGACGACCUACACUGCUUAAAGAAAUUUCCCAUGUCUUGUAUAUUAUUAAAUUUUACCAACUGUGACCUGGAACUUUGGAUAUCAUAGUAGUGCAGCAGGUAGAUCUUGUGCAACAAAUUAUUGGCUUAUGUUGCAACUUUCUGCUACUCCGGCAUCCUCCGUUAUAUUGUCUCCUGGCAAAAGUUUAGUUCUUUUAGUUUGAUGGUGUUGCAAUGGGUGAGCUACUGGCUUUUACAAACUGAUGGCCAUUUGUAUCUACUCCAUUGUUCAGCAUUUGCCAUUUGCCAUUUGUCAUUUGCGUCCUGGGUGAAAAAGAUGUUCAGCAUUAUGAAAACGUGUUUGUAAGCAAUAGGUAGGAUGAUGAUCAUCCCCUUGAUUUGUGAGGAUAAAUUCUGUAGGAUUAGUUAUGGCUGAUCUUGAGACUACUGAGUUAUGAUAUACAGUUACACAUUUGUCUCUACCUUGGAUAGCAUUUAAGUUGGCUUUGGCUUGGCAUAUUAAGUAGAUGACUAUGGAAUUUAAUCUAAUUUGCAGUUGAAAGCCAGAAAGAAACCGUGUCAUGAGUCAUGUUUUCUUUUGAUAAAUACUAUUCCUUUCUAGCAGCAAGUGAAUAAAAAUUAGCAAUUCAGUUCUUAUUUGGGAGGGACUUAUAGAUGCCAACGACGGAGUAGACAUUCUUCGGAGCUGUUCCAAUGUCAGUUGACAAGCUUAAAUGAUGUAUCGAGCCGAUGGAAUCUCUGAAGUCAUCAGGGGUCCUCUUCUUCUGUUUCUUCUUCGCACUUUGAUGUAAUAGGUUGCUUUGCAUAUCAACUUGGGUUUCUGGCUCUGCAAGUCGCAUGAAAUAGGCCGAGUUUUGGAAAAGUUAUUAGGUGACCAGGAUACUUGAGUCGGGAUCGACCAUAUAGUUUGCUCGAACAGAGAGACAUUGGCCUUUGCUAGAAGUGGAUAAACAGCAGCCUUUGGGCCGUUCAUGUGCUUAGGAAGGAGCAAGGCGACCCGAGCGGGGCACCUGUCUUGCAAUUCAAAAUUUAAACCACUCAUCGCUGCUACUGUCGGAUUUGCUCCAUAAGUUGACUUCCGGCCUUAACAUGUCGAAACAGUCUUAAACAUUUGCCAAACGAAAUCAGAGAUCGUGCCACAUCGGGUCAAAUUGGGUGCCCGGUCUUUUCAAAAGGUUAGACCUAACGGGCUUAAUCGAUGCGGAACACACGGGAAUUUCCAGUUUCUGGAUAGACGAUCCGGAUGACUACGUGAUCAAACCCAUCUUAAUCUCCGAUUAUCCUCCUAAAUGUACGUGAUUUCCGUUCCAAGUUCCUACCUUCCAAAUCUACAAACCAAUGGAGAAAAAUCUUUCAACCCAGCCAGGCAACCCAUUAAACUGACCAAAACGCCAUCGAUCCUCCUCGUGGGUCGGGCAAAGAUAGCGGGGCGAGACGAAGGGCAUAGUGGGAAAGAACGGGAAAACAUCUCCUGCUAUAAAUUGGCAGGGCCAUGGCCGAAAACGAGAGAGGAGGAAGGAGGGGUUAGGACUAGGGUUUCGGCACACGCGCUCCAGAGCUCCGAAUGAGGCUCCAAGAAGAAGAAGGAAGCCAGUGAUUUCCGCCUCUGACCCUCUACCCGAACCAACCCCUCCAUCUCUCUCUCUCUCUCUCUCUCUCUCUCUCGCUCGCUCGCUCGCGCUCUGCAAGUCCAUGCCGGGAUCUUCUUGGCUGGACUUGUACUCUCUCUCUCUCUCUCUCUUUGCUGGGUUGUGGGGGUGUGUGUAUGCGAUGACUGAUGGAUAUAUACAUAUAUCUGUUCUCUUUCUUUUCCUUUUUCUUUUGUUCUCUCGAAAUCGCCCCCCGCACCCGCAAGGCGCGGAUCGAACGCCGCGACCUCCGACCCGAACCCCCCACGUUAUAUCUUCUGAGGCUGUGAUGAUCGAUCGCGUUCGCGUUCGCUUUCGCUCAAGUUUGGAAGGAGAGCGCGCGCGUGUGCCAGAGGAAAAGGUCGGGUCGGUGCGCACCUGGAGGGGCCGAGCGAGACCCGCAUUGCUCGCCGUGGCGGGGCGACCCGGACGGCCGGCGAGCCUCUGUUUUCGCCGGCAACCGGCGUUCGCAGCCACGGCGGGGGGCUUCCUGCUCGCUCUCACUCGUCCCUUGCGGUGGUCGGCAUUCGACCCGAGUCCCAAACUUGAUCUGAGCCUAAUGCACGAUCCUUACCCACCUCUCCGUAUUCGCGUUCUCAAAAACCCAUUUUUCGUUUCGAUUAAUUUCUCCAUGCUUUUGCUUUCAUCGUCUGUUCUUCUGUGUUCACUGAGCUUGGUGCAGAAGCCAUUGAUGGGGGAAGAAGUUCCAGCUAAGGAGGCAGGAGCGUGGAGACAAGGCUCUGGGGAAGCUCGAGAGAGGGAAGAUCGAUGCGACCUCGUAAGCCUCACAAGGCCUUAAUUUAAGAGAAAACAGUAGAAUUUGUCCAAUCUUUCCACAUUUGUGUCGUUUCUGGUUGAAAAGAAAGUGUCUUGUAUACGAUUUAUUCAUGACGGUGCUCCCGAAUGAAAAAUGCAGUCUUUCCAUCGAAUUCAAUUGGCAAUCUACAUGAAUCGGCCAGAGUACCCUCCUGCCUGUGGCCUGGUCUCGAAUAUCAAUUUAUGGUACAACGCACUAGGGAACUAAGGGAAUGUUGAGUGGCGAGGAGCGUUGCGCCUGCAGGUUGGGUCCAAUCCAAUUCAUGACUUGAAAUGCACGUUCAAAUGUUGGGGCUCGUCCGCCCAUUUACCCUUUGGGCUUGAGAGAGGCCUAUCAAGCAUCCUCUCUAUGGAUCAUUUCCGAGGACAAAAGUCAAACUUUGAAGGGAUAGUGACAUGAACAGUCGAUCAAAUUUAGUUCAAUAUGUAAUGCUUUUUCUGAAUUUUAAUCUAUGCAUUUAUAAAUUUUGGUUCGAUAUGUAAUCUCAUCUCUAGACUUCCAUUUUGUCCAAUAUAGUUCAUGUUAUAGUGUCCAUGGAACCAUUGGAUCAAUUUUAAGGAACAUAUUGGACAAUUAAAAUGUCACAUUGCACAUUAAAAUUUAUGGAUCAUUCACGUCAUCUUUUCAAAUUAGAAAGAAAAGGCCAGAAGAACAACUAAGCACGGUAGCUCAAUAACAAGGAAAAUGGGUCAUCUAUCUUUUUCAAGAAAGCAUCUUCCUCGUUUCUUUUCUCCAUCCUAGGAAAGCUUGAAUGACAUUACCAAACGGCUUAUCUAAUCCCAUGUGAUUUUCUCAUAUUAUUUGUUCCCAACUUUUCCUUUUCCUUUUCACAAAGCCUAAAGCAAACGGAUAUUCUUUCAUCCACUUAUUUUACCCAUCCAUUUUUGCCCUCCACCGUAGGACGGGCUAAUAUCUUGUCAACAGAUAAAAAGAAGAGGUCAGCUACCAUCAGAAGAGGAGUAAAAUAGUAAAAGAACCUCCCACCAAGGCACUUACUGCCUGAGAUAUAAAAUCCAGCUUUAGGGUUUCGGUCUCCUCCAUCACUCAUUAGUUUAAGAAUGAGGCUCUGCCUCCCGGAGAGGCUCAGGGUGUCCCGGCGGCCGUUGCCGCCUCUCCGGUCGACGGCGGAGCCGGUGAUUUCGCCCGCGCCCUUCGCGGACGCGCUCAUCUCUUCUGAAACAGCCGCUCCUUCCAAAAAAAAAAAAAAAAGAACAAGAACACAAAAGGGAAAUUACCACGAAAAAGUCCUAAACCUAAACCCUCGUCCCAGCGACGACGAUGCUGCUUCUGUUUUCUGAUCUUGAACUGACCCUCCUCGAGUUCGCACGCCCGCACAGCGAUGCACCGAUGGCGAUGCCUGCCCGAUCUUUCCCAGCUUUGCUGGCGAAGCGUUCGGUGGUAAGGCGCUGAGAAAAAAAAGAGGCGAUGAUGAGAUGCGAGCUACGGAAAUGUGAAAGUAACAGGCAUCGAGAACCGACCGUAUCUUGGCGGGGCGGCCAUAGCCGGCACGCAGCCAUGGCGGGGUUCCUCCUACAUUUGCCUGAUCAAAGGCGAAUCUGAGCCUCCCUCUCUCUCUCUCUCUUCCACGAUUCUUGCCCUGGUUUUUUUUUCUCCCUUUCUUUGGUUCUGAGUUCUGGUUUUCCCAAUUUGAUGAUGAUUUCUCUUGCGUUUCCCUCUGAAAAAACGGGUUUUUUCGGUUAGGAAAAUGAAAAGGAAACCCUUUUUCAACCCUCAGUGUUUGAUUUUCUUCAUUUUUUGGCCUUUUUUUUUUGCGUUUUUAUCGUGUUUAUUGCAGCAGCAAAUAAAUUGGUUAAAAUCAAGAGAUUUUCUCUAACGAAAAUGAGAAAAUCACGGAAAAAAAGGAAUAGCCGGUUUGGAAUUGAGACCGGUCGGACCCGGGUCAUCGAAAAUGCCAUCAGCGAACCGGCUGGACCGGGGUAAAAUGGGAAAGAAAUUCCACGAGAUAAAAGCCAAGAGGCGAGAGGAGCAGCCUCAGGGUCUGGUGUUGAACUUUUUGAGAUCGCGAGAAUGAGGCUUUGCCUCCCGGAGAGGCUACUGGGAGUCCCGGCGGCGGUUGCCGCCUCUCCGGUCGACGGCGGAGCCGAUGAUUCCGCCGGCCCACGACGGCGAUCGUGCCUUGGGCGCACGUUUUCGCCCGUCCGAAACAGCCGCUCUGCGAAACAAAGAGAAAUGAACUGAAACAACGGCGGUGCCACGGCUGCUUCCCGAUCCGAUCCGAUCGCAUCUCCGUCUCCAUGGUCGCCGCCGCAGCCGCCACCGCCACCGCCACCGCCUAACACCAACUCCAAAACCACGACUCCGAUCUCCGCAGAUUCUGGGUUUGCUAGAAAAAAGAGAAAAUGGGUAAAGUGAAGAGAGGCUGUGACGAAAUGCGGGGCGAGAGAAAUGAAAGUGUGACAGGCGCUGAGAACCGACCGUAUCUUGGCGGGGCGGCCAGAGUCGGCCGCAGCCAUGGCGGGGUUCAUUUUUGUAUUUUGCCUGAUCACUGAACGAAUCCGAGCCUCUCUCUCUAUCUUCACGAAUUUCCUCCUAAAUUCACAAAAUUUUUGUUUUUUUUUCGUUCUUUUUGGUUGAUGAUUUGGCUCUACUGCAGAGUUUUCUUGUUUCUCUAUUGUAAAAAGAGAAAAAAAUUUGUUUCUUUGCCUAUUUAAUCUUGCCUGCAGAUUGACCAGUUCUUUGAAAUUCUCCUCCUCUGUUCUCCAAGAUUAUAUAUAUAUAUAUUUCUCACAGUGAAAAUAGUCACAUUAAAUAAUUUAUUUUUGAAAGUAAGAAGAAAAAUAAUUAAUAAAUCAAAAGCUGUAUGCUUUUCUCAAGAUUGCUAAUUGAAUUAGUGUCAACAAAAUCUGGUCAGUUUAACAUCAUAUUUAUCGCUACAGUCACUGACCGGAGUCACUGUUUAGAAAAGCAAAAUUACCCAACGUGGAGACCGAAAUGCCCUCCAGUCUGAUUCCUCCUGUUUCGGGGAGGACGAAGGGCAGAGAGGUAAAAUCGGACGAGGACCUCGAAAACCGGAGCCUACAGAAACCAGAAAGAUCAGCCAAACUCCCAAAGCAAAGAUCGUCGUUUUGGGGAUUCGCCGGACACGCUCGAAUCUUGAAUGAGGCUCUCUCUCUCCCUCGGUCGCUCCUCCGCGAUCUGACGGCGAAGAAGCCUGUGAUUUCACGGCGACCCCGAAACGCCACCAACCAUGAUCUCUCUCUUUCGCUGUCUCUCUGUCUCGGUGCUGCUUGAGAAUCUUCUUCUUCUUCUUCUUCUUCUUUUUCUUCAGAGGCUUCUGGUUUGUUGUUGUUUCUUCAUCUUUUCGGAUGAUCUCAAAUCGCCCCCCACCCGGCCGCGGUCGGACCCGAUUGAUAUAAGGCCGUGAUGACCGGUCGUUCCCAAGUUUGGACGAGCGUGUAUCUGAUCUGGUCGGGGCAUCGAGGGAGCGCCCGGCUCACCCGCCGACCCGCAUUUUCUGCCCUCCGGCGGGGCGACCCGGAUGGCCCGCGAACGAGAACGGACGGUUCCCGUCCUCCUCUUUCGCCGGCGACCGUCUCUGGUCGCAGCCGAGGGCGGUGCGGCGGCGUUGCGUGUUUCUUGGGUGUUGGCUCUGCCCUUCGGCUUCGAUCGAAACCUGCAAACUUGGUCUGAGCCUAAAGCAUCGCGCGUUUCUCACCCUUUGCACACACUCGAUUCACUUUCUUUCCAUCGAAUUUCUGCGCUAAAUUCCUUUAAUUUUCUAACCAUUUUGGCCCCUCCUUUUUCCAACUUUGGUUUUUCUCUUCUUCCCCUUUUCAAAAUUUAUAAAAUUUUCAAGUGUCAAUUUUUUUGCUUUUUUAUGUGCUGGGAACAUGUUUCCUGCAUUGUUUUUUUCUCUGUUCCUUUUUCUUAAUUACUAGUUGAGGGCCCGAGAUAUGCGCAUUCACUACUAUCCCCAAAGCUCAUCGUUAUUAAAAACUAUAACUGAGACAGCAUAUUUAUUUAUAUAAUUAAGUAAAAAAUUUAGUAAACUCGAUCUUACUUUCUCGAAUACAUCACUAGGUUAGUGUUCUUUCUUUUUUCCAUGUAAUGAUAAAGAUGAGCCUAAACCGUAUACCAUCUGAAUCUUUUGGAACCAGUCCGCAGGAGUCGGACCCUCCAGACAGAAAUCCUAGGUCGGGUCUGUGACAAACCUCGUGAGGCCGAAUCCGGCAAAUCUAACGGGCCGUCGUUCGUGAUGUAGGAUCUUGUUCGUGGCUAAACCUCGCUUUUCUCACUCGGGGGAACAAGUUCGUCGUGAUUCACGCUUCCAUUCUUAUUUGCUCAAAUACGUCGCAUUGCUCUGCCUCCGGAACCAGAGAGAUCAAGCCCAACGGAGCGAGCCUUAGCACGUUCCUUAAGAGGCCCAGCCAGGAGUUUCUAAAAUCUUAUAACGGAGAGUUCAGAGAUGAGAAAUGGGGGAAUCGUAUUUUUGAAUGCGAUGGAAAUCAGAGAGAGAGAAGGGAUGAGAAGAACUGGAAAUGGAAUGGGAGCGAAAGAUCCUUAUAUGUCGAGAAAAUAUUAGGUAUCCACGUGGACAACUGUCAACUACUGAAUAGUUCAAAGUAUAGAUGAUGGGAUUCUUUUUAAGGCAUUUAAUAUUUUCUCUUAUAUGUGAAGCCGAAAGACAAUGCGGGACAUGAUAUGGCUAGUUCCAUAGAGCCAUCCAAAAAUCGAACCAUUAUGGCUCAAUUCAAGGUUGGGUCCAUGAGUCAAUAGAUGAUUCUCGGGUCCAUGAGUCAAUAAAUGAUUCCCGAUUCCCAACUUCGUAGGUGGUUCCUAGUUUCAGAGUGAGAAUUGGCUCGCCUGGGAAUCGGUCGCAUCUAACUAGUAGUCUCUUUAACCUACUUUCCAUAUUUAGGGUUUUUUUUUGUCCAGCGUUUGCAAUGGGCUUUGGGACUCUAAAGUCUCUUAGUCAAAUGUAAAUGCGUUUAAUUCGUUUUAUUACUCAAUUUUGAGAAAAUACAAUUGUAUCUCUAAAUGGCUCUUAAGACUUUUAGCCUAAAGCAAGUCCGAAGCCCAUUAGGAGGUUGUAUUCUCAAAACGCAAGUCUUAGUCCUCGAUUAAUAUUCAUCUUCUUAACCAUUGCAUAGAAAAGCCAAUCAAGGACCAGCAACAGUUGGCUAAGUGGUCAUGACAUCACGACUACUACUGGACCUUUGGUUGGGUUGUGCGACCUUAGGCGACCCUUGCCGAGGUGGGCAACCUUAGAAUUAGAUGAGGCCAUUCGGUAGCCAGAUUUGGCCACCAAUGGCUAAACUCCAAAAAAAAAAAAAAAUGCAUAUUUUAUUUUUUAAUUUAGUAAAAGUCAUUUACAAAUGUAACUUUUACAAAAUGACUUAAGUUAAAUUUGUUUUCUAAUAUAUUUAAAAAUUUCAAUUCAUUAAACGUUAUUUGCAUUUUGAAAAACCUUUUUAGUGUAGAGCUGGACAAAGGAGGGCUGGACUUGCCAAGCUUGGAUGGACUUGUCCCUUGCCUGUGGUUGGUUGUUGGCUAUCACGUGGCUUGUGACCGACUGAAGAAGAAGGAAAAAGAAAAAGAAAAAAAUUAAAAUUAUUGAAUAUUUUUGUAAUUCUCUUCUAGAAAAUCAAAUUAGAUUUUUCGUACGUUAUUUCAUUUCAAAGUUCGGCCAAACGAUGGAAAAUAUUGUCAUUUGUAUAUUCCUUAAAAAUGAUUUUCAUUUUUUUUAAAAAGUCACAUUUUUCUCGAAACAAACUGAGCCUAGAUACCAAUUCCAUGUGAUUUUCUCAAAUUAUUUCUUUCCAAUUUGUCCUUUUCCUUGUUACAAAGCCUAAAAAAAAUUGGAUAAUCUUUCAUUCACUUAUUUUACCCAAUUUUUCUCCUAUCUAUUUUGCUCUCCACUGUAGGACGGGCUAAUACCUUACCAACAAACAUAAAACCAGCCCAGCCACCAUCACAAAGGGGUAAAAGAGUAAAAGAACCUCAACGAAGGAACCAGCUGCCGGAGGUAUAAAGUCCAGCUUAGGGUUUCGGUCUCCAUCACUCAUUAGUUUAAGAAUGAGGCUCUGCCUCCCGGAGAGGCUCUCGGGGUGUCCCGGCGGCCGUUGCCCCCUCUCCGGUCGAUGGCGGAGCCGGUGAUUUCGCCGGUCCACGACGACGAGCCGGUGAUUCGAAACGGCCGCGGUUCCAGAAAGAAAAGGAACAGAAAAUACAAAAGGGAAAAUGCCACGAAAUGUUCUAAACCUUCGACCGACGACGACGACGGCGGCGACGGGGACGACGACGAUGCAGCUCCUUUCUGAUCUGACCUCAACACACCCGCACCACGAUUCACCGACGGCGACGCAUGCCGAUCUUCCCGGCUUUUGCUGGCGAAGCGUGCGGCGUCUAAGCGCUAAGAGAAAAGAGGCGAUGACGAGAUGCGGAAAAGUAACAGGCAUCGAGAACCGACCGUAUCUUGGCGGGGCGGCCGGAGCCGGCACGCAGCCAUGGCGGGGUUCCUCCUCCGUUUGCCUGAUCAAAGGCGAAUCUGAGCCUCCGUCUUCCACAAUUCUUCCCUUGUUUUUCUUUCUUCUUUUCUUUAGCUCAGUUCUGGUUUUCCCAAUUUGUUGAUCUGCAAAAACGGGUCUUUUUUUUUUUUAAUUCUUGGGAAAAUGAAAAGAAACUAUUUUUCCAAUCUGCUCCUUACCAAAAAAAAAAAACUCUUUUUCCAACCUGCUCAGUUGCAGGGGUGUUUAAUUUUCUUUCUUUUUUGGCCUUUUUGGGGUGUUUUAUAGUGUUUGUUGCCACGACAAAUAAAUUUCUUAAAAAAUUAAGAGAAAUUUAGCUCCAAAAAAAUUGAGAGAAAUUGUCUAAUAAAAUUAGAAAAUCACGAGAAAAGAAAAGAAAAGGAGAAGAUAUGUGAACCGGAUUGAAAUUGAGAACCGGUUGGACCCGGGUCGUCGAUAAUGCCAUCAUCAUCAUCAUCAUCAUAUAGGGGCAAAACCGGAGGCGAGAGGAGCAGGGCCUGGCAUUGAAAGAGAAUGAGGUUUUGCCUCCCGGAGAGGCUCCUGGGUGUCCCGGCGGCGGUUGCCGCCUCUCCGGUCGACGGCGGAGCCGAUGAUUUCGCCGGCCCGCGACGGGGAGCGUGCCUCCGCGCACGUUUCCGCCCGUCAGAAACAGCCGCUCCGUGAAACAAAGGGGAAUGUACAUUAACAGCAAAAGCACGCCAUAGCUGCUUCCCGAUCCCAUCUCAUCUGCUUCUCCAUUUUCGUACACACCACCGCCAGCACUAACCCCCCCAAACUACGACUCCGAUCUCCGCAGAUUCUGGGUUUGCUAGGGCAAAAAAAAGAAGAGAAAAAGGGUAAAGUGAAGAGAGGCUGUGACGAAAUGCGGAGAAAUGAAUGUGUGGCAGGCGCUGAGAACCGACCGUAUCUUGGCGGGGCGGCCAGAGCCGGCCGCAGCCAUGGCGGGGUUCCUUCUUCAUCUGCCUGAUCAUUGAACGAAUCUGAGCCUCUCCCUCUCUGUUAUUUGUUAUUCACGAGCUUGCUAUAUUUUUUAUUUUUAUUUUUUGGGUUCUUUUUCUAUCUUUUUUGUUUGAAGAUCUGGAUCUACUGCAGAGUUUUAACAUUUCUCUAUCGUGAAAAAAGAAAAUUGUUUCUUAAACCUAUGUAAUCUGGCCUGCAUAUGACCCAAAAACAAGAAAAAUCUUGCCUGCAGAUUGCUAUGUUCUUUGAAAUUUCACCCCUUUUUUUCCAAGGGUUGUUUUUGAUAUAUUUCUCAGUGAAUACAGUCACAUUACAUGAUCUAUUUUGAAAAGUAAUAAGAAUAAUAAUUGAUACAUUUUAAAAAAAUUGCAUGAAUUUCUCAAUGUAGCUCAUUUAAUGAAUCUCGUCAAAAUCCAGUCCGUUUAAGAUCAGAUAAUCACCACCGUCGCUGAGUCCCGGUUCAGAAAAGGAAAAUCACCCACCGUGGAGACCGAAAUGCCCUCCAGUCAAAUUUGUCCAUUUCGGAGGGCACGGAGGGCAGAAAGGUAAAAUCCACAAGAGCCUCGAAAGGUAAAAUCUACGCAAACCGCAAAGAUCAUCGACCCAACCCUCCCCCGAAGCGAAAACCAUCGUUUCUAGGGUUUCGUCGGACGCGCUCGAUCUCGAAUGAGGCACCAUUCCCUUCUCUCUCCCUCCUCCGCGAUCCGAUGGUGAAGCCUGUGAUUUCACGGGAGACCCUGAAACGCCAUGAACCAUGGACUCUCUCUCUCUCUCUCUCUGUGUUCCUGUGCUGGUUGAGAAUCUUCUUCUUCUUCUUCUUCCUUUUCUGGCUUCUCGCUGUUGUUCCUCAUCUUUUCUGAUGAUGUUAAAAAUCGCCCCCCCGCCGCGGUCGGACUCCGACCGCGCGGCCCCGAACCGGACCGCACGAUAGAGGCCGUGAUGACGGUUGUUCCCAAGUUUGUAAGAGCGUGAACAUGGAGGAUCGGGUCGGGUCGGGGCAUCGAGGGAGCGCCCAACUCGCCCACCUCCCGCAUUUUCUGCCCUCCGGCGGGGCGACCCGGAUGGCCAGUGAACGGAAACGGACGGUUCCGUCCUCGUUUUUCGCCGGCAACCGUCUGGUCGCAGCCGAGAGCGGUGCGGCGGUGCGGCGGUGCGGCGUUUCUUGGGUGGUGUCUCUGCCCUUCGGCUUCGAUCGUAACCUGCAAACUUGGUCUGAGCCUAAGAUUUUCCGUUUCUCGCCCCUGCUCGAUUUUUCGCUUUCUUUUCAUGAAAUUAACUUUAACGUUUUUGCCUCUUUUUUAUUUGUCCCUGACUUUUACGAAUUAUUUUACCCUUUUUUUCCUAACUGCGACGAAUUAUUUUAUGGGGCUUUUCUUUUCUUUUAAAUUGAUCAUUCAUGUUAUUUUUAAUUGUUCUUUGUUUGUGUUUUUAUGUGCCGGGAGCAGGUUCCUCUGCUUUGUCUUUUUCUCUGUUUCUUUUAUUAUGAUUUAUAUAAGUAAAUAAAAAAAUGGUAAAGUUAGUCUUUCUUUCUCAAAUAUAUCGCGACAUUAAAUGAGCUUAAACUGCCUCCUCCCGUAUCUUUUGGAAAAAUCAUGGAAAUGUGUCGUACUUGGUAGGGGUGUCAAUGGUCGGGUCGGGUUUUUAUGUUACCCGUCCUGACCCGAAUCAUAAGGGUCAUAUUCUAUGACCCGAUCAAAACCAACUCGAAACACAUUAGACCUUCAUCGAAAAUUCGAGUCGGGUUUUUUUUUUUUUUUUUCCUUUUCUUCUUCCGGGGUUAGUUAAACCCAACUUUGGAUCCACACACCAAAUUCAAAAGACUUGUGAUUUAUCUCUUAAGGAAGAAAACAAGAAGUCAUCAUGCCUCAUCAAGAAUAUGUUGUCUUCUGGGGGUGUCCAAAAAUCCGACUCGACCCGAACAUGAAAUAAAUUGUGUACAUGUUUCGGGUCUUAAAAUUGUUUAGAUAAUUAUUAUAAAACAACAAAACAAACAUGUUUUGAGUCGGGUUAGGGUCAAAACAAACCCAAAUCUUCACACUCUUCACUUCAUGCAAACCCAAAACUUCACUUCAUUUAACCCCAAACACGAAACAAGACUCUUCACUUCUCUAGUUGUCGACUCCGCCGCCACCCUCUUCUUUGCUCCUCGCAUUCUAGGGUUUCUCUUGAUUUGAGAGAAAGGUUUCUCGGUGUCGUUCCGGAUCUGUUUCCUCUAGCUGCUCCUAAUGUAGGUGGCGUCGUUCUGGAUCUGUUUCCUCUGGCUGCUCCCAAUGUAGCUGGCGCUCGAGCUGGUUUUGGAACGGUGUGGGUUCUGAUCUAUUCACUUCGCAAGAGCAGGUUAGUCCUCGAGCAAUGCCAGCGAUAUCCUCAAGCUGGCCAAAUCCACUCUUGGGUUGAAUCACAUCCUCGGCACGAGCCUCACUUGACUCUUAAAAUCCGAUCUUUUGAAUGCCUUCGCCGAGCUCAAGAGACGGAACAAGAUGGAUUUGGCCCUCAAGUUAUGGCCCUUUUCACGCCUAGGUUCUUCCCUUGUUGGAGUCUGUGAUUCUAGGUCUUUAUUUUCUUUGCUUUUCUGGUUGGUUUUCGAACUCUCUCUUUGUAAGUUUGGCGUAUGGUGAGAACAAUAUCUGCUCGUGAAAAUAGGAAUUGGAAGUUUAGAAGGCCAUUUUUGGCAUCUCUGUGAGUUGCAUUCUUUGAUUGAAUACUUUAUACUUCUUGAAGUUUGACAGAAAUUUAUUGAUUUAAGUGUGGGUUUAUAGAUAAGUCUACAGCUUUCAAGUUUUGGGUUGAGAUAGGGUGAUUGUUUGCUAUCUCCAAGAAAAUUGAGUUGUGGCAAUAUUAUUUUUCCUUUUGAAUGUUCUUUCUACUUGGAUCUUUGCAAGUUACUAGAGAUGAACUACCUCCUAAUGGAAUUGGCUAAUUCUUUUCUUAACUAAUGCGAUUUAUCUUAUCUGUAACCUGUGUGUAUGUGCAUACUAGAGAAAUUAGCUUGAAUUUGGUCUAUUGUUUCAUGUUAAUGAGUUUUAUCAAAGAUGAAUAAUUGCUACUUUGGACUGGCAUAAGCUAGCACUUUAGGUUGUCCAAAUAAAUUUUCCUUCCUCAUUUUGUCUUCCAACUUUGACGGAUUUUUUUCAUAAGAGUAAACUAUUUGAUAGGUCUAUUACUUUUUCUGUUUGUCUAGAGGCUUCUCUUCCUCUGGUGUAACAAACUAAUAAUAUUCUUAAAGUUAUUGUUGUUAGGUUGCUCAUUAUAGGUUCAAUCUUUAAGUUUUUAUUUUGUCUGGAGCAUCUAAUUGUGCUAACUUUUAUGCAAUUAUGUGAUGGAUCAGUUGUCGCCUUCACUAUUUUCCAUAAUGUAAACUGUAAUCGUGGGCUCAUAUAUGUGACCACACAGUUAAUGCAUAGCAUUUUGCAGGCUGAUUAUGUGCAAUAUCAAGUUCUGAAUCUCCUCCUUUUCUUACCUCAAAAAUGUUUUGACAUUUCAGGGUGUUCUAAAAAUUCGUCAUCUGCCAUCUAAUUCAAGCUAUGACAACUAUUGGCCAGUACAAAAGGUAUUCCUUACUAAAAUGCUAGUCAACCUUCUUGCUUAUGAUGCCAGUGAUCAUUUAUUUUUAUCAGAUUCCACUUAAAGGAACUCCACAUCAAGUUACUUUGCCAAGAAGAAUCUAUACCCACUUAUGGUUUCAACUCCGGUAAGUAAUGCUUAAAACAUUUUCUCAUUCACAUUCUUUUCUCUGGUAUUACAGAUAUAUCGGAAGCUUAUGUGUCCUUCUGCAUAACAUGUAAUUUCCUCACUUGAUAGCAUCACAAUAUCAAACUAGGAUAUAUUUGUACAUAAAUUUAUAGACAACAUUGAUCAUGUCUUAGUUAUUAUACUCUCAUUUGUGAUGUACCUGUGCUGUCCAUUAUGUUUUUGAAGCUUACUUCAACAAACUUUACUUUUAUAGCUAGUGAUACUUCUGCCAGCUAUUAUUUUCUUCAUAUUUUGCCACUUCAUUGUCUCCACAGGCCUGUAAGCUAAUAGAAAAUGUGAAGAAAUGAGUUGAAGCACUUGGUGGAGUCAUCUUUUAGGGUUGCUUAGUGUUUGAAGAUUUUCUGAGUUGAUAUUACCAGGGGCAAAAAGAGAAAAAUUGUGCUGAAUCAAAGGUACAAACUAACCAUGUGUUUCAAUAUUGCAAAUAAAUAAUAAUGCUUGUAAUCUGCAACAAAAUGAACCCAUGACUAUUUUUUUAUGCCUUCCGAAUGCUAGCUUACUAUAAAUUAUUGAAAUAAUAAUUUGCAAGCUCUAAGUGUUAUAAAUAGAAUGAUUGAUGGAUGUCUUCAGUGGGUGGUUCUAAUGUCACAAAUAGAAGGAGGAGAUCUACAAUGUGGGAACAUUUUAAAGAGAUUUCUUAUCAAGAAAAGGCUAAAUAUUUAUAUUGUGGCAUCCUUAUUGGUAAAUGUAAGGAAUAUCCAUAUGCAGACGUCGGAAAAGGGCAAAAAUGUGCCUCGAGUCAAGUUGUUGGGGUGGUAGUUUAUCAGAUCCUUGGAAAUUUGAUCAGGAUGCUAGCAGAAAAGAAUUAGCGAUUAUGUUUAUUCUUAGUGAGUUGCCCUUUAAGUUGGUAGAGCAUGAGGGUUUUGUCGAUUUGUGAAUAAAAUCCAGCCAAAAUUCUUAAUCCUAUCACACAACACAUUGAGGCAUAGUUGUUAUGAUUUAUACAUGAAGGAAAGAAGCAAAUUGAAGAUAUAUUUCUCCGAGACAUCUCCAGAGUAUGUCUAACAACUAAUACAUGGACAUUUUGUCAAAAUUUAAGUUAUAUGUGUCUAACUACUCAUUUUGUUGAUGCUAAUUGGAAAUUGCAGAAGAAUUUAUUAAAUUUUUGUCAAAUCUCAGGUCAUUCUGUUGAGAUAAUAGGAAAAACAAUUGAGAAAUGUUUGACUGAUUGGGGGAUCCAAAGUGUUUUUUCUAUCACUGUAGAUAAUGCUAGAUCGAAUGACUUGGGAGAUCAAUACCUGAAAAAGAUACUUAACUUUUGGAACUCUUUGUUAUUGAGAGGUGAGUUACUCCAUAUAAGGUGUUAUGCACAUAUAUUAAGUUUGAUUGUUAGAGGGGGUUAAAAGACAUAAACAAUUCAAUUGCUAGAAUACGAUCAACCAUACCUUAUGUGAGAUCUUCACUUAGCAAGCUAAGAAAGUUCAAAGGUUUUGUUGAGUUAGAGAAUAUUAAGUCGAAGAGUUUUGGAUGUGAAAACUCAUUGGAACUCAACAUAUAUGAUGUUGAAAUCAAUUUUGAAGUUUGAAAAAGCUUUUAGCAAUAUGGAACUUCAGAAUAGCAAAUAUGCCAAGAGCUUUCCAAGGGAAUGGUUGCCCACUAAUGAGGAUUGGAAUUACACACGUCACUUUUUUCCUUUUCUGAAGUUGUUCUUUGAUACAACUAUAAAAGUUUAUGGUUUUCUUAUGUUACUAGCAAUAAUAUGGCGAAUGACGUGUAAGAGAUUUAUAUGAUAAUUGAGAGAUAUUGUGAAAAUGAGGAUCAAAACUUGCGAGAAAUGGCUCAAAGAAUGAAAAUGAAAUUCCGUAAGUACUUUGGCAACGUGAACAACAUAAAUCUCACUUUAUUCAUUACUUGCGUACUUGACCCAUGACAUAAGUGGGACUAUGUGAAGUGGAUGAUUAAUCAUGUUUAUGAAAGCAAGGAGGCAAAAACUUUACAAGAAAAAGUGAUAACAUCUCUGACAUUAUUGUUUGAACAAUAUCGCACGGCCAUAUGCCCUCAAAGCAACUUGAGGCUAAAGAGCACAGGAUGGUAAGCAUGUCGAGGUCCCGGUGGUCUAGGUUGCACCGACACAGCGGGACACAACACGACACAACACGUCGACACGUCAUUUCUCAAAAAUAGAAAAUUCCGACACAUCGGGACACGUUAUAUAUUAAAUAAAUUUUUUUAUUUUUAAUUAGUUUGAAUCUAAUUUAUAAAUAAAUAAUUAAUUAAAAAUAAUUUAUUAUAAAUGUACACUAAUCAUUCAACAUUUUCGGUAAGAUUUUAAGUUUUUUUUUUUAUUUCAUUAUCCCAAAUUUAUUUUUAUUUCAUUAAAAUCAAACCCCCUCCCCCCUUAAAAAAAACCCCGUGGGCCCAAACUCCCUCCCUUUUUUUCCCUCGACAGACCCUACCCCCAAAUUUUUUCACUUUUUUUCCCUCCCCAUUACCUGACAGCCGUCCCUUCCCCUCCCUCCUUUCACUUCCUCCUCGCUUCAACACGCAAGCCCUUUUUUUAAUCUUUUAUUUUCCUUCUGAGUUCUCAAAACCCUAGCAGCACGGCACCUUCUUCUCCUACUCCUCAGUCCUCGCCGCACAACGCCUAUCUCCGAAAGCAUCGAAGACUCGCAAGAAAAGCACUAGCAUUCGUCGAAGGAGCGGAAAAGGGAGUAACCAAAAAAAAAUUUCAGUGGAAGGGAUCGGAAAAGAAGGCGGAACGCGCGGUCCCUGUGCGCGGAGAGGCUACACACUGCCGCGAACUCCUCCUCCUCCCCCUUGCCGCCGCCGCCGCCGCCCCACUCGACGAUGCUGCCCUCCCCCACGAGUGCCUCCCUCGUGAAGUUCCUCCUCACGGCCCUCGCCUCACUCUUUUCUCUUUCUUUGGCCGUCUCUCGCUGUCGCAGGCUCGCCUUCACUAGCGGCCUCCACCCUUUCGGACACACGUGUCGACUAACGUUGACCGUGUGUCGAAUUUGUCGACACGCGGUCAACGUGUGUCCGAACGUGUCCAAGCGUGUCCGAGCGUGUCGGACACGUCGACACGUGUCGGACACGACUCGAGAGCUCCGGCAGCGUGUCGGUGCUACCUAGCUGGUGGUUGGUGCUGAUAUUAUUAUUGUAUUUUAGCCAAACUGGACGACAAUAGUUGGAUGAAAAAUCAGAACUGGACAAGUACUUGGAGGAAGCAUGUGAAUGUUAUAUCUCUGAAUUUGAUAUAUUAAGUUGGUGGAAAGGAAAUUCGUCGAGAUAUCCUAUAUUUUCUACCGUUGCUCAAGAUAUCUUGGCUGUGCCCAUCUCGACUAUAGCAUCGGAGGCGGCAUUUAGCACGGGAGGUCAUGCGCUCGAUGUGUNNNNNNNNNNNNNNNNNNNNNNNNNNNNNNNNNNNNNNNNNNNNNNNNNNNNNNNNNNNNNNNNNNNNNNNNNNNNNNNNNNNNNNNNNNNNNNNNNNNNNNNNNNNNNNNNNNNNNNNNNNNNNNNNNNNNNNNNNNNNNNNNNNNNNNNNNNNNNNNNNNNNNNNNNNNNNNNNNNNNNNNNNNNNNNNNNNNNNNNNNNNNNNNNNNNNNNNNNNNNNNNNNNNNNNNNNNNNNNNNNNNNNNNNNNNNNNNNNNNNNNNNNNNNNNNNNNNNNNNNNNNNNNNNNNNNNNNNNNNNNNNNNNNNNNNNNNNNNNNNNNNNNNNNNNNNNNNNNNNNNNNNNNNNNNNNNNNNNNNNNNNNNNNNNNNNNNNNNNNNNNNNNNNNNNNNNNNNNNNNNNNNNNNNNNNNNNNNNNNNNNNNNNNNNNNNNNNNNNNNNNNNNNNNNNNNNNNNNNNNNNNNNNNNNNNNNNNNNNNNNNNNNNNNNNNNNNNNNNNNNNNNNNNNNNNNNNNNNNNNNNNNNNNNNNNNNNNNNNNNNNNNNNNNNNNNNNNNNNNNNNNNNNNNNNNNNNNNNNNNNNNNNNNNNNNNNNNNNNNNNNNNNNNNNNNNNNNNNNNNNNNNNNNNNNNNNNNNNNNNNNNNNNNNNNNNNNNNNNNNNNNNNNNNNNNNNNNNNNNNNNNNNNNNNNNNNNNNNNNNNNNNNNNNNNNNNNNNNNNNNNNNNNNNNNNNNNNNNNNNNNNNNNNNNNNNNNNNNNNNNNNNNNNNNNNNNNNNNNNNNNNNNNNNNNNNNNNNNNNNNNNNNNNNNNNNNNNNNNNNNNNNNNNNNNNNNNNNNNNNNNNNNNNNNNNNNNNNNNNNNNNNNNNNNNNNNNNNNNNNNNNNNNNNNNNNNNNNNNNNNNNNNNNNNNNNNNNNNNNNNNNNNNNNNNNNNNNNNNNNNNNNNNNNNNNNNNNNNNNNNNNNNNNNNNNNNNNNNNNNNNNNNNNNNNNNNNNNNNNNNNNNNNNNNNNNNNNNNNNNNNNNNNNNNNNNNNNNNNNNNNNNNNNNNNNNNNNNNNNNNNNNNNNNNNNNNNNNNNNNNNNNNNNNNNNNNNNNNNNNNNNNNNNNNNNNNNNNNNNNNNNNNNNNNNNNNNNNNNNNNNNNNNNNNNNNNNNNNNNNNNNNNNNNNNNNNNNNNNNNNNNNNNNNNNNNNNNNNNNNNNNNNNNNNNNNNNNNNNNNNNNNNNNNNNNNNNNNNNNNNNNNNNNNNNNNNNNNNNNNNNNNNNNNNNNNNNNNNNNNNNNNNNNNNNNNNNNNNNNNNNNNNNNNNNNNNNNNNNNNNNNNNNNNNNNNNNNNNNNNNNNNNNNNNNNNNNNNNNNNNNNNNNNNNNNNNNNNNNNNNNNNNNNNNNNNNNNNNNNNNNNNNNNNNNNNNNNNNNNNNNNNNNNNNNNNNNNNNNNNNNNNNNNNNNNNNNNNNNNNNNNNNNNNNNNNNNNNNNNNNNNNNNNNNNNNNNNNNNNNNNNNNNNNNNNNNNNNNNNNNNNNNNNNNNNNNNNNNNNNNNNNNNNNNNNNNNNNNNNNNNNNNNNNNNNNNNNNNNNNNNNNNNNNNNNNNNNNNNNNNNNNNNNNNNNNNNNNNNNNNNNNNNNNNNNNNNNNNNNNNNNNNNNNNNNNNNNNNNNNNNNNNNNNNNNNNNNNNNNNNNNNNNNNNNNNNNNNNNNNNNNNNNNNNNNNNNNNNNNNNNNNNNNNNNNNNNNNNNNNNNNNNNNNNNNNNNNNNNNNNNNNNNNNNNNNNNNNNNNNNNNNNNNNNNNNNNNNNNNNNNNNNNNNNNNNNNNNNNNNNNNNNNNNNNNNNNNNNNNNNNNNNNNNNNNNNNNNNNNNNNNNNNNNNNNNNNNNNNNNNNNNNNNNNNNNNNNNNNNNNNNNNNNNNNNNNNNNNNNNNNNNNNNNNNNNNNNNNNNNNNNNNNNNNNNNNNNNNNNNNNNNNNNNNNNNNNNNNNNNNNNNNNNNNNNNNNNNUCAACAUUGAGCUUGACUCUGUGGUUGUAUUUGACAAUUCUACAAUAAAUUCACGACGAAAUGAGAACUAACAUAUGCAUUAAAAUAAAGAAAUGUAUAAAUAUUCUAGAAUUAUAUUUUCUCAUCUGACUCAGAGAUUUCAAGGUUUUCUAAGUCCUCCUCAAUCGAACGUAAAAGUGGCGCGGAUUGUAACCAAUCUUGAGCACAUAUAAGAGCUUCCACCAUGGUUGGGGUCAAGGAACUACGAAACACAUCGAGCGCACGACCCCCUAUGCUAAAUGCCGCCUCUGAUUCGAGAUGGGCACGACCAAGAUAUCUCUAGCAACAAUAGAAAGUAUAGGAUAUCUCGAUGAAUUUCCUUUCUACCAACUUAAGAUAUCAAAUUUAGAGUUAUAACAUUCACAUGCUUCCUCCAAGUACUUGUCCAGUUCUGAUUUUUCAUCCAAAUAUUGUUGUCCAGUUUGGCUAAAAUACAUUCCAGUCAUAAUAUUAGCACCAACCAUGAGGACCAACCAUGGGGACCUCGACAUGCUUACCAUUCUUGUGUUCUUUAGCCUCAAGUUGCUUUGAGGGCAUACGCCCGUGCGAUAUUACUCAAACAAUAAUGUCGGAGAUGUUAUCACUUUUUCUUGUAAAGUUUCUGCUUCCUUGCUUUCAUAAACACGACUAAUCAUCUACUUCACAUAGUCCCAUUUAUGUUGUGGGUCAAGUAUGCAAGCAAUGAAUAAAGUGAGAUUUAUGUUGUUCACGUUGCCAAAAUACUUAUGAAAUUUCAUUUUCAUGUUUUGAGCCAUUUCUCGCAAGUUUUGGUCCUCAUUUCCACAAUAUUUCUCAAUCAUCAUAUAAAUCCCGUACACGUCCUUUGCCGUAUUAUUGUUAGUAACAAAAGAAGAAACGGAAACUUUUAUAGUUGUAUCAAAGAACAACUUCAAAAAAUGAAGAAAAUGGUGUACAUAAUUCCAAUCCUCACUAGUGGGCAACCAUUUUCCCUUGGAAAACUCUUGGGCAUAUUUGCUAUUCCAAAGUUCCAUAUUGCUAAAAGCUCUUUCAAACUUCAAUACUGAUUCCAAUAUCGUAUAUGUUGAGUUCCAACGAGUUUCCACAUCCAAAUAUACAAAACUCUUCGACUCAAUAUUCUCUAACUCAACAAAACCCUUGAACUUUCUUAGCCUGCUAGGGGAAGAUCUCAUAUAAUGUACGAUUGAAUAUAUUCUAGCAAUUGAAUCGUUUAUGUCUUUUAACCCCCCUCUAACAAUCAAACUUAAUAUAUGGGUAUAACAUCUUACAUGGAGUAACUCACCUCUCAAUAACAGAGAGUUCCAAGAAUUAAGUAUUCUUUUUAGGUAUUGAACUCCCAAGUCAUUCGAGCUAGCAUUAUCUACAGUGAUAGAAAAAACACUUUGGAUCCCCCAAUUAGUCAAACAUUUAUCAANNNNNNNNNNNNNNNNNNNNNNNNNNNNNNNNNNNNNNNNNNNNNNNNNNNNNNNNNNNNNNNNNNNNNNNNNNNNNNNNNNNNNNNNNNNNNNNNNNNNNNNNNNNNNNNNNNNNNNNNNNNNNNNNNNUCAGUUUGCUUCUCUCCACAAUGUAGAUCUCAUAACGGUCAUGCAUCAAAAUGUUAUCGUACGGGAUUAAGAAUUUUGGCUGGAUUCUAUUCACAAAUCGAUGAAAUCUCUCAUGCUCUACCAAUUUAAAAGGCAACUCACUAAGAAUAAACAUAAUCGCUAAUUCUUUUUUGCUAGCAUCCUGAUCAAAUUUCCAAGGACUUGACCACCCCCAACAACUUGACUUAAGGCACUUUUUUGCCUUUUUCUGACGUUAACAUAUGGAUAUUCCUUACAUCUAGCUAGAUGAUGAUGCAUUGAGCUAGUCCCUUGACUACUAGCAUAAGCAAUAAGGUGCUACAAUAUAAACACUCAGCCUUUUCUUAACCAGGAAUCUCUUUAAAAUGUUCUCACAUUGUAGAUCUCCUCUUUUUAUUUGUGACAAUAGAACCACCCAUUGAAGAGAUUUAGCAAUCCUUCUAUUUAUAACACUUAGAGCGUGCAAAUUACAAGCAUUUGGAAGGCAUAAAAAAAAUAGUCAUGAGUUCAUCCUCUGUUGCAGAUUACAAGCAUUACUAUUUCUUUGCAAAAUUGAAACACAUGGUCAGUUUGUACCUCUGAUUUAGCACAAUUUUUUUUCCUUUUGCCCCUAGUAAUAUUAGCUCAAAAAAUCUUCAAACACCGAGCAACCCUCGAAGAUGACUCCACCAAGUGCUUCAAAACAUUUCUUCACAGUUUCUAUUAGCUUUACAGGCCUGUGGAGACAAUGAAGUAGCAAAAUAUGAAGAAAAGAAUAGCUGGUAGAAGUAUCAAUAGCUAUAAAAGUAAAGUUUGUUGAAGUGAGAGCUUCAAAAAAAUAAUGGACAACACAGGUACAUCAUAAAUGAGAGUAUAAUAACUAAGGCAUGAUCAAUGUCGUCUAUAAAUGUAUGUACAAAUAUAUCCUAGUCUGAUAUUGUGAUGCUGCCAAGUGAGGAAAUUACAUGUUAUGCAAAAGGAGGCAUAAGCUUCUGGUACAUCUAUAAUACCGGAGAAAAGAAUGUGAAUGCGAAAAUGUUUUAAGCAUUACUUACUGGAGUUGAAACUAUAAGUGCGUACAGAUUCUUCUCGGCAAAGUAAGUAACUUGAUGUGGAGUUCCUUUUAGUGGAAUCUGAUAAAAAGUAAAUGAUCCCUGGCAUCAUAAGCAAGAAGGUUAACUAGCAUUUUAGUAAGGAAUACUUUUGUACUGGCCAAUAGUUGUCAUAGCUUGAAUUAGAUGGCACUUGACAAAUUUUUGGAACACCUUGGAAUGUCGAAACAUUUUAGAGGUAAAAAAAGGAAGAGAUUCUGAACUUGAUAUUGCACAUAAUCAACUGCUAUGCGUUAACCUAUGAGGUCACAUAUAUGAGCCCACGAUUACAUUUUACAUUAUGGAAAACAGUGACGGCGACAAUUGAUCCAUCACAUAACUGCAUAAAAGUUAGCACAGUUAGAUGCUCUAGAAAAAAUAAAAACUUGAAGAUGAAACCUAUGAUGAGCCACCUAACAGCAAUAACUUUAAGAAUAUUAUUAGUUUGUUACACCAGAGGAAGAGAAGCCUCCAGACUUCAUCCAUAAAAGAUGAAACAAAAAAAAGUAAUAGACCUAUCAAAUAGUUUACUCUUAUGAAAAAAAUCUGUCAAAGUUGGAAGACAAAAUGAUGGAAGGAAAAUUUACUUGGACAACCUAAAUGCCAGUUUAUGCCAGUCCAAAGUAGCAAUUAUUCAUCUUUGAUAAAACUCAUUAACAUGAAACAGUAGACCAAAUUCAAGCUAAUUUCUCUAGUAUGCACAUACACAUAGGGUUAGAGACGAGAUAAAUCGCAUCAGUUAAGAAAAGAAUUAGCCAAUUCCAUCAAGAGGCAGUUCAUCUCUAGUAACUUGCAAAGAUCCAAGCAGAAAGAACAUCCAAAAGGGAAAGUAAUAUUGCCACAACUCAAUUUCCUGGAGACAGCAAACAAUCACCUGUCUCAACCCAAAACUUAAAAUCUGUAGACUUAUUUAUAAACCCACACUUACAUUUGUAAAUUUCUGUCAAACUUCAAGAAGUAUAGAGUAUUUAAUCAAAGAAUGCAACUCACAGAGACGGCAAAAAUGGCCUUCUAAACUUCCAAUCCCUAUUUUCAUAGGCAAAUAUUGUUCCCACCAUACGCCAAACUUACAAAGAGAGAAUUUGAAAACCAACAAGAAAAGCAAAGAAAACGAAGACCUAGAACCACAGACUCCAACAAGGGAAGAACCCAAGUGCGAAAAAUUCCAUAACUUGAGGGCCAAAUCCAUCUUGUUCCGUCUCUUGAGCUCAAUGAAGGCAUUCAAAAGAUCGGAUUUUAAGAGCCAAGCAAGGCUCAUGCCAAGGACGUGGUUCAACCCAAGAGUGGAUUUGGCUAGCUUGAGGAUAUCGCCGGCAUUGCUUAAGGACUAACCUGCUCUUGCAAAGCAGAUAGAUCAGAACCCACAUCGUUCCAGAACCAGGUUGAACACCAGCUACAUUCAGAGCACCCGGAGGAAACAGAUCCAGAACGAUACCGAGAGACCUUCCUUGUUCAAGAGCGAGAUCAGAUUGCGAGGAACCCUAGAAUGCAAGGAGCAAAGAGGAGGGCGACGGUGAAAUCGACGAGACAACAUAGUCGUUGAUAGCGGCGGCGGCGGCGGUGACGGCGGCGGAGUCGACGACCGGAGAAGUGAAGAGUCUUGUUUCGUGUUUGGGUUUGCGUGAAGUGAAGAGUGUGAAGACUGAAGAGUGAAGAGUGUUUGAGUUAAGGACUUUGGGUGAGAGGCCAAUGAUGUGUUCGGGCCAAACAUUGUUUUGACCCUAACCCGACCCAAAACAUAUUUGUUUUCUUGUUUCAUUAUAAUUAUCCAAACAAUUUUAAGACCCGAAACAUGUACUCAACUUGUUUCGUGUUCGGGUUGGGUCAGGUCGGAUCGGGUUUUUGGACACCCCUAGUACUUGGGUGUCGAGAAGUGGAAAGUAAGGAGACGCUUCUUAUAUAUUUGCUAAGAAAUAUCAUAAAUUGAUUUCUAAAUAUAAAUAAAUUUUAUAUCCUUAUUUAUGGAUAAAUUUCUGAGUAAAAAUACGCGUUUGAUAAUGAUAUAAAGUUUAUCCUUCCUAAGCAUCGGUGGGGGCGCAGUUGGAUAGAGAGCGAUGGAUGGGGGUGGGUGAACGACGAGGGGGUGAGCAAACGAUGAGCGAGCGAGCAAGUAGACGACGUGCGUCCGAUGGGCAACGACGAGGGGGUGAGCAAACGAUGAGCAAACAAGUGGGUAGACGCCAUACAUCUAAUGGGCAACGGCAAGCGAGCAAGCUGCAGGCAGCAAUGGGCAGGGCAACGGGUGAUGGCAACUGGCCAAUCAACUAGUAGCGAUGGCGAGCGAUUAGAAGAUUUUUUAUUUUUUAUUUUUAUUCUAGAAAUACAAAAGGAGAAAACAGUUACUUCUCAAUUAUAUUUUAAAUCUACUUCUGAACAAAAAUAAUAAUAAUUUCAGAAAUAGAAAAAUGAUAAUUAAAUAAAUUUAUCUUCAGCAAAUUAAACUUGUUUCCAGAAUAGAAAAAUAAUUCUUGAAUAGAAAUAAAAUGGUCAUUAUGCGUAUCUUAACACGCUCAUAUCCAAUUCUAAUCAACUCCGCACAGCAUCAAUUGCAACUCCAUGAUGCCAACUGCCCUUUUCGGCCUCCGGCCAUGAUUCUCGCGUCCAAGGUCGUGGAGGAAACAAAAUCGAAAAAGAAACCUCGACUCAGUCAACUUAGAUCUAAUUUCGUCACGUUUAGGUAAAUUUUGUAGACUCCUUCAUCCAUAUAAUUGGAAACGCGACGAUGAUUCUAAAUCAGCUGCAAAGGAUGGAAAAGACGACAAAAUGCAGCUGGAGCCGUGGGUCAAGGAAAGAAAGGGAGAGAGGUGAGGUGCUGCUGGCUGGGUCCCAUGACGCGUUUGCGCAAUGGAAAAGAGGGAAGAUCGAAUGACGUAUAUGCCCCUCUCUUGGUCAACGAAAGCUCAAAGGGGGGGGGGGCACCAGGUCACGCAUUUAGUCCAAAAUAGUUAUAAAUUCUAAAAUAGUAAUAAAUUUAUUUAUUAAGUGAUCGGUUUCAUUGACUAGAGAACCGGUUUUCCCAAUUAGAUUCUCAAUUCCUAGGUGAGAUCGAAUCGAAUAGAAAAUCAAUCACCUCUAAUUUCACGGGAGUCAGAUCCCCCCACCCUAGGAGCUCCCAGGUUGAGUCUGCAAUGAACCUUGCGAAAGAAUCCCGCAAGUCAAAAUGGACUAUCCUUCGUUUUGGAACUUAGUUCGUGGAUAAUGGGCAUUUCAGGCCAAAUGCCAAGAAAAAGAAAAAAAACGAAAUUAAUCUCGCUUAAAGCACAUGAAUAUGAGAAUAUUGAAAUUAUCUUCUACUUCAGAGAAUCUCACGUUUUCUCCAGCACUAAAGCAUAAGAUGCCAAACCCUAGAGUUGGACAACCAAGAAAAAGAGAGCCUUUCAUCUUAUUUAAUGAUAUGCAACGAAAUUUUUUUAAAUUUAUAUCAAUUAAUGUAAUAGAUGCCUCGAUGUCUGUACAAAAUCGAUUAGUGUUAAACCUCGCUUUUCUCACUCAUAGGAACAAGUUGUAACCCUUCAUGGCGGUAGUGGUGGCCGUCAUCGUCGUCGGCGUCUUUGCCAUUCUCGUGUCCUCUCUUAUUGCUCAUCGCGCCGGAGGCAACGAUGACGUCGGACUGCUCCGCCUCCGGGACCAGAAAGAUCAGGCCCAGCGUGGCCAGCCGCAGCACGUUCCUUAUCAAGAGGGCCAGCCACAGGUUACUGAAAUCCGUCCUGGUGACGUGCAUCAGGUUAAGCACCAGCCCUCCUCCCAUCUUGGAGCUCAGGAACCCUAGGCUGUCGAUGCACAUGAGCAGCGCGAAGAACAUCCCCUCGAUCCCGAGAGGGCAGAGCUUGGUGCUGAGCACGAUCAUCGGCAUCCACCGGAUCCGGCUCACGACCCGCGACACGCACUCCUCCGCGAUGACGAAGAACGAGUCGGGCACCCCGAGCGCCAGGUUCCACCGCCGGACGAAGAUGAGGUCGAGCAUCCCGGUGACGCCGUACAGCAACUGCACGGAGAACAGGAGCUUCCGGAACGAGCAGUCCUUCAGGUUCUUCUGGUAGAUGAGGACGCCGACCAUGGAGGCGAGCGCGCCGAUGGCGUGGACCAUGCCGACGAACUCCUGGGAGAAGGCGGGGCCGGCUUUCGGGUCGGUGUACCAGUAGAACUGGCCUUCGUGCGUGCUGAUGUUGAGAGAGAAGGACAGGUACAUGUAGAGAGAUGGCUUCCAAACUUGGGGGAGUUUUAUCGUUUCGUACAUGCCUCUCACCGCCGUUCCUAUUUUCUCCGUCGCCUGGACAUUGAUCAUAGUCAAUACCUUGAGAAAGAAAAUCUGUAUAAUGCAAUGUUUUGAUAUCUAGUGAUCUCUUUUUUUCAAACUUUCGAGUUUACUCUCAUUUGAUAUGCAAUGAAUGAUUCAGAAUGCUUGGUUCGGUGAUUUAACCUUAAUGCACCUCAUGAAAUGUCUUUCUUGGAUUUCGAUGCUUACGUGCAAAGAGGUUAAAUCAAAGUAGGUCUCUCUUAUAGAAAAAAAAAAAAAAAAACGUCUUAAUGUACCACAAGGUAGAUAACUCAAAUGAGAAUUGGUGAUCCAAAAAUAAACUGAUAAAAACUGGAAUAUCACUCCAAUUUAGAUUGGUAAUUUCAUAUAACGGUUAGUAAAUUUUAAGCGCCGGUGAGGUUAUGCAAAUAAUAUUUGAUAAGUUAAUACAAAAAUCAUUAACCUACAAACUAUUAAAAAGGUUAAUGAUUUCGUCGGAAAGUAACCACCAAAUUACAUUAAAAAAAAAAAAAAGUCGCCGGUCGUUUAUCUUACCACCAGUCUUUUUCGAUAUUUACAAUGGCAACUAUUGAGUUUACCAUCCAAAAACCCAAAUCCUACCCCAGAGAAUUAUAUUUAAAAAAAAAAAAAAACACCGAAUACUACAAUUAUGCUAUUAUAGAUGGAAGCUAUCAUGUAGUAAACAUCUUUUGUAGAUCAAAUAAAGAAAGAAUAUGUUAUGGUAGCUAACGUCAAUCACGAUUGAUAAGAUUUUUGUUCAUAUUAACAGACAAUGACAUUUCGCCGGUCAAACUAUAAUCUAAAACUUCCUCGAGAGUCGAGACUAGAGCAUCAUAUAAUCUACACGCCAUUCCUCUUGGGUGUCUAUCAAAGCGUCACAUGACAGAUUAAAUUUUUCUGUAGUUUUAUGUAUAUUAUUGUCGCUCGCAUCAUCUUCGCACAUUAACACGAGCUUAUGAGUUACUGAAAACAACCCAGAUAGAGACCCUGAGAUACGGUGGUCAAGUCACAGGAUUAGGUCGUAAGAUCUUCUGGCAAAAUGAGAUUGCUGGUCAGAGUCGCGGUGAAUCCACCGGUGAAGAUAACAUCAUCUUUUUUGUAAUAUUUCAUUUAAUUCAAUCUAUGCCAAUCUCCUACUUCAUCCAUUAACUUUUUAAUUAAGCAAUUUAACCUAGAGGAUCUCGAGAGAGAUCACACGCUUUCUUUCAAGAAUAAUACAAGCUGGAGGUCACAGUAACACAGGGAAGGUUAUAGAUAGAAAAAUGGAGCUAUAGCAGUCAACAAUGGAAUCAUUUUUAUCUAGCUAAUGAUAUAAUUUUAAGUAAAAUAAAGGAACUGUUUCUGAGGCAGGCUACUUCUGGGGUUGUAAACUUUGAUGGCAAAAAUAUUAAAGAUCUGUUAGUAAUUGAACAGAUGUUGCCAUCCUGUUCCAAAAAAAACAAAAAACAGAUGUUGCCAUCGCGUAUUUACAUCACCUGUCCCACUAAUCUGGUGAAUUUUGCUAAGGACGCUCUAACCGAAGUUACCUAAAAACCCUCGUUGACCCUGACCCCGGGAAGAAAAGUUGAUUUUUUUUUUUUUUUGGACAGUAAGAAAAGUUGAUUUGAACGUCUAAACCUUCACGCUAUGCACUUCUCCGAUUCGGAUCGGUUGCUGUCAUUAUGUCAACGAAACCCCAGAUGAGGUCUGAGUAAAUAAACAUCCACUUGAUAUUCUUUAGGGCUAAAUUAGCUAAAGCCGAGCUCCAAGGGUCACACCCAGUUGAGCUAUAAAAUAGAGAGGCCUGAAGUGAAUAAUUUAAUGGUUUUUUGGUAUGGCCCAGAUAUAAAUUAGGGUUAGUUUAUAGCACGAAUAGCUACGCAAAAAAUAGAUAAAAAUAUAACCAUGAGAAACGCGUUGCAAAAUGAAAUAAAUAGAAAAAUGAUGCUGACCUUUUUCUUCUUCUCGGAAUUUAGAACGUCUGUUCUCACUUCAUGAAUUACAAAACCAAGAACUAUCAACAAGGCUGGCGGAAUUGCUAAUACACCCAGAGCUCCCUGCAAAUGCCCACAAAAAUUACAUUAUCCACAUAUAAUUACUAGCAAUUUCCCAAAGAACAGAAUAGUUUCUUGCAAAAUGUGAGAUUGAUUACCACGCGCACUUGCUUAAAGUUUCUUUACUGAAGGCUAAAAAGCCAGUAAUUCUAUCUAUCUUUUGUUGAUAAAAGAAUAGAGUUUUAAGAAACUCUAUGAGGUAUGAGGUAUGAUUACAUGUAGCUAAAUUUGACUGUGAGUGGUCGAUCUUUCUUUCACGUGUAGGGCCAAGAAAACCCCGUUUGUCCAAGAUCUAGUUUAUUGAUAAUCUAAUAGUCUAAGCAAUUUAAUAGAAAAGGCCAGCUAAUUUGACCAAGCUAAGCUUUUAAAGGAAAAAAAAUAAAAUAAAAGAGAAACUUUGACCUGACCUGAGCUCCGAUGUGGUGAACGAAGAAACCGCUGGUGGAGUACCCGAUCAAUGCUCCGGCCGACGAGCACAACCCACAGAGGCUCUGCAUGUCCGGCGCCAGCGCCGCCAUCAUGAUGCUGUUGUGCGCCACGCACGCAUCAAUCGUCACGUCGGCAAUGGCCAGGGAAGCCGUCAGCCCCGUCAGGAAUGUCAGCGCCAGAGGCACCAGCAGCUUCCCCCCAGCUGCCACUGCCAUCGCCGAGGCCACCCCGAGAACCCCCGAGGCGACGAAGUAGGGCCUCCGGCGGUAGCCCAUCACGGGGAAGACGUCGGUGAGGAGGCCCCAGAGGGGCUUCAUGAUCCAGGGGAUGUAAUAGAAACCGAUGUAGAGCUGGACGGCGGAGGGCUGGACUCGCUGGACGUCCUUCCAGUAGUAGUCGGAGACGACCUUGAAGAAGGAGCCGGCGAAGCCCUGGUUGAGGCCGUACACGACGAAGACGCCGAGGACGAAGGUCGGGUUGAGGUUGUCGGACAGCAUCCGGAGCCAUUGGAUGGGCUCGAGGAGGAGCGAGAGGAGGCGGUUCUUGGAAGCUUUCGGUUGGAAAUAGGUGGCGGUUGAUGGCGGCAGCAGCGGCGGAGGCUUGUGGUGGUCGGAGAGGGAGUCCUGGACCAGCUUCUCGGUUUCUAGGGAACCCAUUGCGGAGGUUUCAGUGGGAAAGAGAGAGAGUUUUCAUAGGGAAAUGUUGACUCUUGGGAGAGAUAUUGAUGCCAGUGCAAGGUUUGAGAUGCAAAACUGAAUUCUUUAAUCAAUAAAGAGGUUGAACUUAGGGAGGUUCCUUUCCUUCUCGAUACAGACAUACAUACAUACGUACAUAUAUAAACAAUUUCACAUAUAUGCAAAGUUAUUCGUGGGAGAGUAAUAAAAUUCCUACUUGGGUUCGGACGUGCAUUGUGCUUCGUGCAUCUGAAUAUAAUUUGUGGGAAUAAACUAUUUUGGCAUGAGCUACACGUCUCCGAUUAAUUUGAAAUCAAAUAAAUAAAGUUGGUUCAAGGAUCACCCUGCUCUUUAUAUGAGUUCUCCUCUUGAAUUUUGACUUGUACAAAUUCAUAUGGGUCUAGAUUUAUUUGAUAUAUACUCACUAAUACUUGCUCCUUUCUACAUGUGAAUGAGGAAUUUGGAGGAUUUGUUGGAAAUAAUUAAAAAGCAGUUUAUAUUUGUAUAUGAAAAGAACAAGAGGAAAAAUGGUCUAACUAUCCAUCUCUCAAAAGAGAUAUCGAUAUUUAUGUAAAGUAGGGAUGGGCAUGGCACGGAGCAAGACUAGGGGAUCGCAUUCCUCGUCCUUGCCACUGCCCCCGUGCCUCACAAAUGGGGGGUGGGGUAUAUCAUCACAGGCCUAUGUCCCGUGCUGGAAAACUUUCAUUAGUGGUUUAGAAUUACACGUUAAAAGCAUAUAAAUAAUUAAAAAAAAUUAUAUAACAAUUAUCAACCACGCUACUUUAUGCUUAUUCAUAUAUAAUUGGUUAUUGAAAGGAUCGCGAUCUUGUGAGCACGACUCUAUUUAUUUACACUAAUUUUUAGUAGUGCUCGCUAAAUAAUAUAUAUGUUUCUUUUAUAUUUGUUCACCGUAUCUUAGAAUGAGAGAUAUGAUCUAAUCAUUUAUAUUAUAAUAUGAUGCUUGCAAUUAAUAUGUAUUGAUAAUUUGUUAGCAAAGGUGAGGACUGAUGAGUUAUUUAUUAUCAUGUCUGAGUGACUCAUCGAUGACGUCGAAUUCGGAGAAAAUGAGAAAAAAAAAUCAUUUCUUGAGCUUGGAACUUGGAAAGUGGAGAGGAACUCCACCCCGCCCCCCCAAUUUUCAAGGACGAGAUGACAGUUGGCACAACAUAAUCAAAUGCAACCACCACUUUAAAAAAAAGGGAAAGAUUCUGUAUUUCAACUCUCGAAGAAUGUCCAAAAUUUAAUAUCUGUAAAUAAACAGAAAACUGUGUUGAUCGUCGAGAGAUUUGCAUCGGUAAGAAAAAGAGAAAAUAAAAAAUAAAAAAAGGAGAAGAAGAUAAUAACACAAAUAGUUCCUCAAUUUUAAUGAUCCAUAAACUUAUUAUAUCUACAGACUAAAUUGAAUACAUACUAAAAAUUUAAAAAAUAACAUUGCAUAUUAGGCUAAAAUUUAAGAACUAUAUUUAACAAAUUAAAAGUUUUAACUAUAAACCAUUUAUGUCAUUGUUUUUUCAAGAUGUGCUCAUCGCCACAAAAUAUUAAAAGAGGGUAGCUCUGAUUGGCGUUGAUAGCUUGCCAUCGUAUUUGUAAUGCGAUUGACAGUAUCUUGAAAGAUUUUGUAUGUCAACACUUGAAGAAUGUCCAAAAUCAUGUAAAUAAAUAGAAAACUAUGUUGAUCGUCAAGAGAUUUGCAUCGGUAAGAAAAGGAGAAGAUAAAAAAUAAAAAGAAGAAGAAGAAGAUAAUAACACAAAUAGUUCCACAAUUUUAAUGAUCCAUAGACUUAUUAUAUUUACAGACUAAAUUGAAUAUAUACUAAAAAUUCAAAAAAUAACAUUUCACAUUAAGUUAAAAUUCAAGAACUAUAUUUAACAUAAUAAAGUUUAUAAACUACGUUGCAUAUUAGAUCAAGGUUCAUGAACCAUUUAUAUCAUUUGUUUAAAAACAAAAACUCUAUAGAAAAUUUUUCAAGAUGUGCUCAUCACCGCAAAAUAUUAAAAGAGGUCGGCUCUAAUUGGCGUUGGCAACUUGCCAUCAUUACCGUAUUUGUAAUGCGAUUGACAGUAUCUUGAAAGAUUUUGUAUGUCAACACUUAAAGAAUGUCCAAAAUCCGAUAUCUGUAAAUAAAUAGAAAACUCUAUUGAUCGUCGAGAGAUUUGCAUUGGUAGGAAAAGAAGAAAAGAAAAAAUAAAAAAGAAGAAGAAGAAGAAGAUAAUAACACAAAUAGUUUCUCAAUUUUAAUGAUUCAUAGACUUAUUAUAUUCUAAAGACUAAAUUGAAUAUAUACUAAAAAUUCAAAAAACAACAUUGCACAUUAGGUUAUAAUUCAAGAACAACAUUUAACAAAUUAAAAAUAUAUAAACUAUAUUGCACAUUAGAUCAAGAUUCAUGAACCAUUUAUAUCAUUUGUUUAAAAGAAAAAAAAACGUUAUAAAAAGAUUUUCAAGAUGUGCUCAUUGCCGCAAAAUAUUAAAAGAAGGCAGCUCUGAUAGGCGUUGGCAGCUUGCCAUCGUUACCAUAUUUGUAAUGCGAUUGGCAGCAUCUUGAAAGAAGAUUAGAGAGCUGAUCCGUGAAGAAAUGUCAAAUCGAUCUUAAGCCGCCUGAACCAUUACGCUCGACUCGGCAUCAUGAAUGUAUCGCGAGUAAGAACAGAAAAGUUGGUAACAGAUCUUGCCAUGAUCCUAGAUUUCCAAGACCCAGACAGGGUCAGUGCAGUGCACCAAAUCAGACCCCAUUGUCGAGUUCUCGGGCAUCUUUCUCACUACUAUGGAAGGGACCAUAAGCACUCGCCGCAACUCGAGUCUCUUUCCACUCGCGCAUCAACCGAACUUUCAGGUCUAUGCACACGGGGUCGAGAACCGACUCUUUAAAACUUCUCGCCUUUUCCCCCAGCAUCCUAAUGUCGAAAGAGAUGCGGUCUCUAGGAAAAGGUAGAAUGCAAUGUGGCAGUUCAAUUGCUAGACUAAAUCCAGUACCGUACAUCCUUAGGCUGUACAGAGACUCAAACGUAAGUACAUGCUACAUGGCUUACCCGUCUGGCGGAUAUCGAUCUUACAGCAUUCAUAUUCAUACGAUGUAAGAGCACUAAAGGCAAUUGUAACGAACAACCCACUAACUCCAGUUCAGCACGUCCAAAUGUACGUCACAAUUACAUGUUAAUAGUAAAGGAGAGGUGCCGCACAACCUUUAACCCCAACUCGUUCAGUGAGAGAUCCGCUGUUGGAUAAGCAAUCAAGCAGCAAGAAGCUUCUGAAUGUCCUUCUGCAAGAAGACUCGAGAAUGUUAAUCGAAAGAACUUCUCAAAUCAUUCUGAGGCUUGAAGAUAGUCUUUUGUUGGUCUUUUCUUCUAGAAUUAUUGAACGUGACAUAUAGACCUCCUUUCUGGUGAAUGGGAGGUGUAAAAACUUAUUAUUGUCGGUGACCCAGGGGAAUUAGUGCAUUGAGAACACACUGAAGUUACAAUGAACAUACAAAACUCUGCCUCAGAAAGGGAAAGAAUAGGGACCAGCUUUUUCUAUGGGAACGGCAUGGUGAACGAUUACAAAAGCACACCGGAUAUACAGUCACACAACAUACAAGACCGUAACCAUCUCCAUGCAGUCAUGAUAGCAAGCAAUUGCCAUACUUCAGAACAUCGAUUACUUAGGCAUAUCUCCGAACUUCACAAGUUAGCUUAAAAAACGUACCUCUAUUUGAAAAGGAGACGUUGUUGGAGGAUAUCUCUCCACAACUUUGCCAUUUUUGUCAACCAGAAAUUUCUCAAAGUUCCACUUGACCAGUUCACCCAAAAAACCUCCUGCACUCGAUUUCAGAAACUGAUACACAGGAGCUGUACCUGGUCCAUUAACAUCAACCUGUUUCCAACAGACUUGAGCUCAGUUGUUCAUUCCAGCCAUCACUUAAAAUAGAGGAAAGAACGUAUGUGUGGAAGUCAAACCUUAUCAAAAAUCGGAAACUCUGCUUUAAACCUUGUACAAGCAAAUUGUUUAAUCUCAGGAUUUGAACCAGGCUCCUGGCCACCAAAUUGAUUACAAGGAAAAGCCAGAAUUUCAAAACCUGUAACAUGGACAGCCCAAGGUGUUUCUUAUCAAUUUUAAAGAUAUAGAAAGAGGACUAACCAAAUCCAAAUCUGCAUAGAAGAUUCAAGCUAUACAUUAUAUCAGAGGAAAGAGGUCUCCCACUCUUUCCAUCCCAGCAAAGAAACAGCCAUCCCACCCUUCCAGUAGAGGCAAUAGGUCUCUCCCUCUCUAUAGCUCUCUCCUUGAAUCAAAGCAAAGAACUUAUUUCACUCUCUAAGAAGUGGAUCUCUUCCUGUCUCUUGGAUAUAGCAAAAUAUAUAGCUCCCCCCCCCCCCCCCCACCAAAAAAAAAAAAAAAAAAAAACUCCUUUCCUUUCAUCAGUGGAGGUCUCCCACUGUUUCCAUCCCAGCAAAGAAACAGCCAUCCCACCCUUGCGGUAGAGGCAAUAGGCCUCUCCCUCUCUAUGUCUCUCUCCUUGCAUCCAAACAAAGAACCCUUCCUUUUCAUCAGUGGAGGUACAUCUCUCUUUCUCUACCCCUAUCACCCCAUCCAUUCAUCCAUCCAUCCAGGAUAUACUACUCUCUCUCUCUCUCUCCCUCGUACACACACACACAAAGGAAGCAUCUCUAACUGUGCCCUUCGUAAAUGUGCAAGAGUACCAAAAAGAAGAUGUAACAAACAUCAUUGGCAAAAUAUAACACCUGAAAAUGGACUGGAAAAAACACUGAUAAAAGUCCCACGGAAAAAUAAAGGACAACUGAUUUCUAGCACACUGUUACACUCAACCGCAGCAAAGACCAUUGGACAAUCCCUUUAGCAAUCUCUGUAAGACCCAGUACCACAGGGCAAACUAAACAAAGCUUGCUUGAGAAGAUUAAAUUUUGGUUGGAGCCCAUAUCAUUAAAAAAACUAUAAGUGAGAAGCAUAAUGAUCGACGUGACUUGUUGUUAAGGGAAAUUCAGCUCCUAAUUAGAUGGUCUUGAGAACUUGAACAGAACUUCCACUUGAAUCUUUUGGCGUGUAGGACAGACAAAACUCCAUUGAUAUUGUACAUUUUCCGAUGAUUGGAAAAAGACACUGAUAUAAUAAGGUGAUUCACAUCCUUUGCUGAAUCAUGAUUUCAUCUACUAUAUUUAAAAAUUAAUGAUCCCUCCUAGCUCAAAGAUAGUAGUCUAACUUCAAACAGGAGAAGCUUUUAAGGAAUUCUAUAACUCUCCCCACAAUCUCAUCUCACCUUGAGUCUUGUACUUCUCAUAUACGUGCGAGAGCUCCUUGUAGUUUGAUGUCGUUAAACCACUGAAUCACAAGAAAAUUCUUCAAUGAGACUGUGAAUCUGAUAAAUUAAAUCAGACAACUGAAGGAGAUAAAGCAAUUACCAUUUCGAAGCUACGUUCACAAUUAAUAAGACUUUUCCCUUGAAUUUGCUCAAUGAAAC